ACCAAGCACACCAAGAAUCAUCAGACAAAUAUAAGCUCUCACCACAGUAGAAAGUAUGAACUUUUGACUUAUUGAGCUAGCUGUUUGAUAUAAAGAAACAGAUCAAAGCAUGAACUUUUGACUUAUUGAGCUAGCUGUUUGAUAUACAGAAAGAGAUCAAAGUAUGAACUUUUGACUUAUCGAGCUAGCUGUUUGUUAUAAAGAAACAGAUCAAAGUAUUUAUACUCUACUUAGUGAGAGGAAUUCGCAUAUGAACAGUCUCAUAUCAGAUAAUUAAUAAGAGAGUAUAAGGUAGAUAUAAUAAUGGGCCUGGACUUAAUAGGCUUAAGCUUUUGGACUAGACGGUUCCAUGAGAUAUGUCAGAUCCUUGGACACAUGCGGACUAGGUUGAACUGAAACUCCCCAACAAGAAGAACAUAAAAACUAAAUCUCUGGCUGUUGCAAAACUAGGCAAUCGAGUAUGAUUGACAGAAUAAAAUUGUAAAAUUGAUUAGGGGAUAUAUAUAUAUAUAUUAUGAUAAAUUGUUCCUUGCACAUUGGAAAUUGAAAGAUUUUGGUUAUUGAAAGUCCCAAUUUCAUUUUCAGCAUUGUUCAGAGAAAUUGGUCCUAUUUGCUAUUUUGCUGCAAGGAUAGUACUAUAAAACCAUGGUCCGUUUAUUGAUUGAUCCUCAAGGUUAGCCUCUUGAUCUAUUAACAUAUGCUGGACUGCUAAUUCAUUUCUAGCAUCUCCAAGAUUGUUGUCUUAAAGCAGGUUCUAGAAACAAACUUUUGAGGUUAAUAUUUAGUUUGUUAGUGAGAUUCAGAACAAAGUACUAAUAAGCUAGCUAUUGCAGUCAGUUAUAUAUAAAGUGGGAAUUAGCAAACUAGAUAUUGAUUUCAAGAGCAAAUCCAGGUCCUCUGGCCCAUGAAAUCCCACUAAUGCUAAAUGCUGGCUAAAAAAUUGCACAAUACUAUGAAUCAAGUGGCACAUAUCAAAAAGAAAACGAAAAGGAAAUCAGCUGUUACUAAGUCAUUUGUCCGAAGGUCCAGAUACAAUUUAGGUAGUGCUCCUCAAAGUCAAAAAGUUCCAACCUUCGUUUACUAAAUUGUAUUUUAAAUAAUGAACCCAACCAUUGACUUUGUCCUAGUAAAAUCCUACAAGGUCUGGAUUCCAAAUCUAUCACAUGUACAAGAUGAAAAUAUGGAGCUGACACUUUGCCAAGUAAAAUAUCAAGGCAUACCACAUACUACAAUAAAGAAUCUUCUAUACCUAUUACCCUAACAUGUCGGUAAAGGAAAUGACCAACAAAGUAAAAACAGAUGCAUAUGUCCUCAUACAUGAACAGAUUGAGCUAAUACAGUUCAAAUUAGUAUAGUAUAGGUCCUCAUUCAAAUUCCUUCAGGUAAAAGAAACAUCACGAUAGCGUUAUUUUAUGUCCAACAUGGAUGAAGUUUAGACUUCAAGAUUCACAGUUGGCUAUGUUCGACUGAAGCCAGGUUGGAAAGGGAUAGCAUAAAUCACAAUGUGGCAUCAGCACUACAGUUUUCCCUUUGUUAAGUUGGCAGUUAGGUUAGUUCACAUCUGAAUUAAGCAAGGUCAGAUAAGUGCAUACACAACCUAGCUUGAAUCCUAAGACAAGGUCUAUAAAUCCUAGGCAAGUAGCCCUCAUUCCUUGUUCUUGAAAUCUAUCCCUCUUUGAUCUCACCCAAACCACGUUCAACUGGUGUAGCCUUAUAUAUAAAUACAUGCUAUCAGGGAAGGAUGUCUCCAAUAAUAGUGGAUAGGACCUGGAAAAGAAUGAGGAAAAUCAACUUCUAGAACAUGUUGCACCUAGGAAUACCACUCACUUAAAUUUCAACACUUGCUGUGUUAGAUAUGUCUCGAAUUCUAGUACCGCAAGGUUUCUAAUCAUAUUCUGUUUUGAUUAUCCCAUUAAGUUAAGUUUGGAUUAUGCCUAAUUUUAUUGAGAUAUUCCUAAUCUUAGUGGAUUUGUAUUUCUCGUUGUAUUAGGAUUUAGCCACUAUUAUAAAUAUACCCUUUAUUUCAUUGGUUUAGAGCGGAAGAUGAGAGAGAGAAUAUGGAUGUAUUUUUGGAAUUAGGGUUUUGUGAGAGAGGCAUAUUUUGUACACCACUUUGAUUAUAAUGAAGAUCCGCUCCGUCUUUGCCCGUGGAUGUAGGUUGAUAGCCGAACCACGUAAAUAUUGUGUGCUUUAUUUUUUUUCUCUCGUUCUCGAUUCUCUUUUGGUAUUUUCGCACCCGACGAACUAGAUCUUUUCAGUUUUAGUUCUAACAUGCUGUGGACUAGAUCAUCUCUCUUCUCUUCGGAGAGGUAACUUCAUAUCACAAUCACAACAUUCAGAGAGCACGCGUCAUGGAUGCAUGCCAUCUCGGAUGCUUAGACGAAAUAAUCUAAGCAUCUGCAUAUCUGCCGUCGAACAGCAGAUAAGUUCCAGUGAUUGUUUCUAGAGUUGCAGAUACCCUUCUCUGCCAAGACCUUAUCAAAGUAACAAAAGCUAUUCAUACAGUUACAUCUUGCCUUAACAUCUCUUUCAGUGAGAGUCGGAUAGUAGUCUUCAAGCCGUUAAAGCCAAAUCCUGAAGGAAUGAUUAAUUUCUAUCAUCUGACGAACAAGCAACACAGAAGACUUUUCUUCUAACACUCUCGAUUGCUUAGGAGUAUAACAGAGCAAUAAAAUUCUGUUUCAUGGAACAAACUUGGGCACAGUAGAGGAGCUACCCUUAGUAGAGCCAGUAGGCAAAAGGAGUGCCCUAACAAUUGACAAAUUAAUCCAUGGAUUAAGAAAUUGAGUAUGAGAUUGGCGUGGGGAACUAACCACUCAAAAUUCCUCAUUAUGGUGUUAAAAGUUGAAUAGGCAAAGUGCUCUGUGAAAAUUUCUAAAUUCGAUGAACCUUUUGAUAAAAGCAGCAGAGAAGUCAAAAGAAAACUGGUUAUAAAACUAAAGCUAUCAAUUUUUUUUUCUCGAGCUGAUGCAUGACGAGAAUGGAUUGGCGCAUAUGGUUUUGAUUUCAAGAAUACCACUGUUAGCUAAGUAACUGAAAAAAAAAAAAAAAAAGUUCAUCUUGAAAGAGAAAGAAUGAAAAAUUUUGAAAUGGGCAAAGCAACAUUAUUAAAAAAUUUCAAAACUGUUAAACAAAGUCACCACCUUGACCAUCUAAUGAACAAUACAAUACAUACUAUGAACAAGAGAGCUCCCGUUAUUCAGUAAAAUACGGAAUGGAAUAAUUGUAAACAAGCAUCCGCAAUCUAAUACGAGUUGAAUUAAUGUAAUCAUCGUGCAAAAGGGUUGUGAGGUGCAAUUACCAUCAGUCUCCGGAAAUUCGAUUGGGGUGCCGAAUGAUCCGCUGCAGGACGACGGUUCGCGCCUUUCGGAUCUCCCUGCUGCAGCGAUCGGCCUGCUCCCCCAAGUCCUCAAUGCUCUGCAUGAACUCGUCCAUCUUCCUCUGGAUCUCCUCGAUCCCGAGCCGCACGGCCUCCUCGUCCCGCAGCGCGAACUCCGCGCUGCCCAGCAAGGAGGUGAUCUGGACCUCCACGCGGGCGACGAGGACCCUGAUGCUGUCCAGGUCCUUGAUGGCGAUGUAGGUGCCGACCUGCAUCGAGCGCAGCACGUCCUUCUGGCCGCGCAGCAGGUCCUGGUAGUUCUUGAACAGGGAGUCGAUCCAGCGGCCCAUCGAGCCGACGGGGAUGGCGGCGGCGGCGGCGAGGGCGGCGGCGACGGGGGGGGCGGCGAUGGCGGCGGCGACGACGGAGCAGAUGAGGACGGCGGCGAAGGUGGCGGCGAAGAUGAUGCUGGAGACCCGGCGCCAGGUCCGGAUGGUGCGGAUCCUCUUGUUGAGCCUGCGCUUGUGCUGCUGGAGCCUGUCGAGCAUGGAGAGCUGCUGGACGUAGACGGAGUGGAAGGCGGCGAAGAACUCCUCGGUGAAGGGGUCGCCGGCGGCCGUGAAUCGCCUCAGCUCCUCCAGCGUGCCGGCGUACCUGCUCCUGCCGGCUUCGGGGUCGGCAUCGGCAUCGGCAUCGGCAUCGGCAUCGGGGUUUUGGUGGUGUUCUUGGGCGAAGCGCUGGAGGGCGACGUGGACGAGGAGGUGGGAGUCGCGGGCGCGGUGGAGGGAGUGCUCGAGGGCGGAGCAGAAGUCGAGGGUGCGGAGGCUGCAGUCGAAGUAGUCCUCGACGAGGGCGAACAGGUCGGGGCUGCGCCAGAUGUCCUCCUUGCAGUCGAGGAUGACGCGGACCACCUCCUGGUUCAUGUCCAGCAGGCACCCCGUCACCUCGCGCAGCGACCCCAGCGACAGCGCCCGCACCUCCACCCCCGACGCCAGCGCCGUGAUCGCCUCGCUCGUCCGCCGGUGCAGCGCCGCGUCGAACGACCGCAGCUCCGGGUCCACGCGGCACGCUGCCUCGUACGAGCUCAGCUCCGACGAGUACUCCAUCCCCCCUCCUGCGCCCGUCGCCGCCGCCGCCGCCGCCGCCGCCGCGCCGGAGUCGCCGGCCCUCUUGGAGAAGUGCGCGCCCAUGAAAGGUGAUUUAAUUGAUUACUGAGGAAUGAAAUGAUUGCGCGCGAAACGAAUUGUAGAAAAAAGAAAAAAGGAAUGUGGGACGACGUGUUUAAUAAAAGAGAGAGGUGGGGGAAGAGUGUGGGAAAUAGAUAUAGCCUGUACGCAUUAUAAACGAGGAGAGAUAGAGAGGAAGGGGGAAGAGGUGGGCAAUGGUGUUCACUAGAAGCAACCUCUCUCUCUCUCUCUUUUUUUACUCUCUCUCUCUCUUUUACUUUCUCUCUCUUAUUAGUUUCUCUCUCUCUCUCUCUCUCUCUCUAUCUAUAUCUCUGCGGCGUUGUAGUUUGUAUGCGGGAAGCAACGCGAAGAGUAGUUGGCGAAGGCAACAGAGGAGAGAGAGAGAGAGAGGAAAAAGCAAGUAGAGAGAGAAAAGAAUGAGAUUGAAGGAGAAACACCGAGGAAGGUGGGUAGAGAAAAGAAACUAUUGCCUGCACCUGGUGUAUAAGUCCAUCUCAUACACCGAAUUCCCUACCAUCAAACUUCUAAUUUAUUUGAUGUGUUUUUCGGUAUUUAGAAAUAUCUACGUUAUAAAAAAUUAUAAUAUCUAAAUAUAUUUGUCAUAAUUUAAAUAAUAAUACUUACAUUAAAUUAGGUGUACGCCGAUUGCAGCUGCAUUUGGUGUAGGCAAAAAUAUCAAGAGAGGUGGGAGGGAAGUAGAUGGGUGGGGAUGCGACGUCAGCAAAAGGGAAACGGUUUUAUAGUGCGCGAAAUGACGAAAAUGCCCUUGUCUUUCCUUUUACGUCUUGUCUUUUUCUCCUGAUUAAGCUGGGCUGGUGUUCGGGUUGGUCUUGCGGAGGCUGACUUUGGUUUCUGCAGAAGGGGUCUGCUAAGGGUACCCAAAAGUGUACCCCAAAAAUUACCCUCAACUUUGAAUUUUCUACCACUGUUAGAUCUCAUUUGUGGAAAAUUUAAAAACUCUCAAAUUUGAAUUUUCUACUGCUGUUAGAUCUCAUUUGUGGAAAAUUUAGAACCUCUUUUUGUGGCCCUCAAAUUUGGGUAACUCGAAUUAAUUUUAGUUUCAAAUUUCUCAACAAUUACUAUCAUAUUUCAAUGAUUAUUAUUAAAGAUAACUCUUCAAAAAAUUAUGAAGGGCUCCACACGUUAAAAAAAAGUGUCGAUGUUAACAACUCACAAGCAACCUCAAACUAGUUUUACUAUAAUUCAAUACUGUAUAUACUCAAUAGUUUAUUUUCUAGUACUAGCUUGUCGUAUUGGCAUAGUUUUUGUACACUAUAUAUUUAUCGCUUCUUGAUUUUAUCUUUUAUUUUACUUUUUAUUGUCCAUUAAUUAAGUUUCGUAAUUUUUUUCUUUGCUGAUAAAUUUGGCAAUUGAAGUAAGAUAUGAGAUUGAUUAAUAGCCAAUAGAUGGUUUGCGAAUGCACGAGUGCAUCCAAUGCAAAUAAAGUUAUUUUCUAACAGAGGUCAUGAACAAUCUGAAGUAAAGUAUUUUUCUUUUAAAUGUCAUAUUCAUAUUUGAUUAAUUAUCAAUUUUAAUGAACAGUAAUAUUUUUUUUUUUCCUCUACAGAAUUCUAAAGGAUUCCGCGUCAAGCAUAUUCAUUCCUUUGAAAGUUAAAAGCAGGGAUCAAACUAUCAAUCUCUAGCAUAUGAUUAGAACUUCGUAUUGACUCUGAUGUCUUAUUGUACAAAAUAUUAAUCUCAUAAAAAAUUAUUGAAAACAACUCAAGACAAAUUGUCAAAAAUAAUUCUACUCAAACAAUCGGGUGCAUUUUGGAGUGCAUCAAGCGUAUUCCCUCCAGAGGAGGUCGCUUGUGGGAGAUAUUGUUAUUUUGGAUAAUCCUGCCACGUGCUGCUAAAUAAACCACGUGAGUAUGAAAUUAAUUAAGUGUUUAAACUUUAAGUGAGGAUUUAAAAUAUAGCAAUAUUGAUUCAUCAAUAAUAAUAUUAUAAUGAUCUAUACUCUUGCGAAAUUGGGGGUUUAAUUUCUACAAUGCCUCUAAAAUUAGGCUUAAAUCUGUGUCAUGGCCCUUAAAAUUAGGUUUAAAUUCUUGCCAUCUUAAAUUAUAUGAUAAUAUAAAAUUUAGGAAAAACUUCAAAUAUCACCUCUGUGGUUUCCCACUUUCUCACUUUAAUACCAUGUGGUGUAAAAUGUAUCAUUUCCAUAUUCUGUGAUUUUAUUUUUAUUUUUUUUUAUUAUUUACUUCAUUAAUUUUUUUUAUUAAAUCAAUGACAAAGUUAAAAUUAAAAGAUACUAAAAUAAAUAUUGUGAUAAACUAUACAUAGGGUAUCUGAAAUUUUUUUGUACAUGAUUUAACGAAAAGUUAACAGAGGGACUGACGAAAAAAGAAAAAUAAAAUCACAAGAUACUAGAUUGAUAUACUUUAUACCACAUUAUACUAAAGUGAGAAAGUAUAAAAUUACAUGAAUGAUAUUUAAUAUUUACUCUAAAAUUUAUAAGAGAUCUUUAAAAUUUGUAAGUUUACAAGCAAUGUGAAAGCUUUUUUUUUUUUUUUUUUAAAAAAGAGUUACAUCAAACGGUUCUUUACUAGGUAGGGGGUAACAAAAGAAUAGCAUAAGACUAUGUCAAAUUUAUUAGGCGACAACUACAGAGUGAAAAUGAUGCGAAAAUAAUUUUAUUACUAAUUGCGUUAGUGGCACAUGAUAACUAAAUAUAUAUUAUUAAUUGUUUUAGUCCUAUUUGAUAUAUUACCAAUUGCGAUAUGACAAAUUAAGCUUAAUCGGCUUGUUAACUUUACAUAUAGUUAAACUUGUGAGAUGUUGCCAUCGCAUGCAAUUAAAUAAUCCCAUGGUUUAAGUAAUUUGCGACAUUUUUAAAGCUAGGGUCAAACCGGCCCGUUCGAUUUUGACCAUAAUGUGAUUCGGUUUAACUGUUCAAACCGGAUUAGUCAAAAAUCUAGUUUGAGUUAUUCAAAUACACAGUACAACUAAUAAACUAGUAAAUCAAUUUGAUUAUGAGCAAAUUGGUGAGUGUUUUUAUCAAGUCAGAUCACAGAUCUAACAACUUAAAAUUGGGUUAACAUUUUGAGAAUUUUAUUUGCAAUUGAUUUUGCUGAUUUUAUAUUCAAUUAUCAAGUAUCAAUUUUGUAAAAAAUAACUAAAUAUCUAUAAUAUCAUGCUGGAGUUACUGAUUCAACUAAUAAUAAUAAUAAUCAUCAUUAUUAUAAUUUUUUGAUCCAGUAAUAUUUUCUGAUCGCUAAAUCUGAUCGCUAUCGUUUUGAAUUUUAAAAUAUUAUUAAUUGCGUGAAGACCUAAUCAUUUAACUAUAUGCGUUUGGUUCGCAUUAUAAAAGAUUACUAUGAAUAAAAGAUAUCCGAGAAUCUUUUCAUAUUCAUCCUAUUACUAAGAAUAUGGAAUUCCUGUGUUUGUUCGCAUGGUAAUAUUAAUUAGCCAUGUUAUUUAAUAUUACAAAAAAUAUACAAUUUAUUUAUUUAUUUAUUUAUUUAAUUUUAGGUAAUGUUACCAAAAGUUUCAACAUCUUUUUAGAAAAAAUGGAGAGAAAGUAAGAAAAAUAAUAUCAAUUAGCCGGCAAGUAGGAAGAAAGAAAAAGAUUAGACAUAUUAUGAUUAUCUCAAUUCAUUAAUUUGAGGAUACCCACCCUCUUUCAAGGAAAUGAGAUUAGUACUUUGGGGUGAAUCUUAUUUCCAAAUGAAUUUAAUAUUACCAACUAGAUUACUUAGUGCAUUUAGCCAAACACCGUCAUAUUUUUUUAUUCUAAUUGAAUUACUAGAAAUCUAUUUUUUAUUUUUAUUGAAUUAUUAAAAAUUUUUAAAAAAUAGCACGAACCAAACGCCUAAGCGCAAUGUUGGUGGUACUAGGGACUAGGGAGAGAAUAUUAGGUAAAGGUGGGCCCUGGACUCAUCAUUGGUCAAUGAAACCGCGUAUAUUGUUUUAUCAAAUCAAUGCUCAAUCCAACAAAUGUACAAAAAGUAUCACUUCGUAUACGGUAUACACAUCUCACCAAAAGAACAAAAUAAAAAAUAAAAAACUAAUUAAAAAACAAAAGAGAUUCCUAAGGCCAAAGGGGGGAUUCUUAACUUUACAAGAAAGAGUCUUAAGAUUUUAUUUGGUUGGGAUAUAAAUUUAAAUUUUUUAUUCUAGAUAUAGAUAUAAAUUCAGCUAUAAGUCUGAAAUAGAUCAAUUUUGCGUUUGGAUAAAUAUUGAGUUAUUUACGGGAAUAAGAAAAAUAACGUUUUGAUAGAUGAAAUAAAAUAAGAAGAAUAGUAGGUAGUUAUAAAUAAAAAAUAAUAAUAUUGUCUCUUAUAUUAUAUUUGAAUAUAAAUUUUUAAAAUUUAUAUUACAAAUUUUAAAUUUAAAUAUAUAACUUUUAAAAUUGAAAAAUUUAAAAUUUAAAAUUUAAUUUUUAAAUCUCAAAUUAAAAAAUUUAAAUUCUAAAUUUUAAAUUUAAGAUCAAAUCUAAAUUUAAAAAUAUAAAAUAUCAAAUUUUAAAUUUAAAAAUUAAAAAUAACAAUUUUAAAUUUAAAAAUUAAAAAUAACAAUUUAAAAUUUAAAAUUAUAAAUAUUAUUUUUAAAAUUACAAAUUAUAAAUUUUUAAAUUUUAAAUUUUAAAAUUCAAAUUUAAAUUUAAAAAAUAAAAUAGGGGUGGGAUUAACUAAUCCCACCCCAAUUUCGGAGGGUGGGGAUUGUUAACCCCACCCGCCAUUUAAUUGUGUUUUGGGAUGGGGGAAGGGGGGUGGAAUUACGGAAUUACCCCUUAUCCCCCUUCUAUCUCAGGACGAAAUGCCCGCUUAGAAUAUAUUAAUAAAGGAGGCAAUAUUUGUGGUUACACAACUACUUAGGACGUGUUUGUUUUAUCUAAUAUCUAUUGUGAAAGUUUCUUACCUUGUUGAGCUGUAAGUGCUGAUGUUUAAAGGAGACUGGCAAAUUUGGAGAUCGGAUGCUGGAAGUGAUUGGAAGCUGCGAGCACCAAUCCCGACUUCAUGUACAACGCGGAAGCGUGACUUCGUAUCCUACUGCGGUGAAAUCGAGAUUGAGCGUACAGCUAGAAAUCAGAAACUACAUACAGCCUCUUUCAAUUUCGACAGAACAAACAUCUUAACUUGUUUAUGCGUUGAGUCGGUAUUAAUCCUUGUAUGCUUGGAAGUUUGGGUUGAAUUUGAAAGGCUUUUGCUGAGCUUACAUUGGUAUCGUCUGUCUAAAAUUUGAGUCGAAGGCUUAAAGAGAUUGCAAACUACCUUCAGAAUGGUGUGAUGCAAACGAAUUGGUGGCUCUUUCAGAACAUGAUGGUCUUGUGGUAGGGCUCCGGGGGUGUCUGGAUAGGAAGACGCGGAUUCGAUGCAUGAGAUCGAAUUGAGGUGAACGGAAUUGUGCGAUCUACAAGUAGGUUAAAACGUACUCAUUGAAAAAGAGUCAAGAGUGAUAGUUUAAUACUCCAGUGCUUGAGAAAUUAAGGAUUGAGCUUAAGGAAGAGUUAGCCAAUUCACAUGUCAAAAAAAAAAAAAUCAAAAUUCACUUAUAAGAAUAAUAAUUACGUAUGAAAUAAUAAUAGUAAAAAUAAAAAGUUGGCACAUCAUAUUAGGCCAAAAUCUUCGGGCAAAAAUUUUGUGGACACCAUGUCCAAACUUUUUUUUUUGAGGACAGUCUAGAUGCACGCCGCGUGGCACCCUAGCCACGCAGGCCAUCGUCCCCCGCUCCCGCUGCCCUGCCUCUUGGGAGAGCAGCGUGUUUUUUUCAGUGCAUCCGGUGCACCAUUUUUUACUUUGAAAUUUUAAUUUUAAUUUAAUAUAAUAGAUAAUAGAUAUAUAUUUUAUAAUAUUUAAAAAAUAUAUGCAAAAGAAUUCUAAAUUAUUUUACAUAUAUUUUUAAAAUAUCAUAAUAUAUAUUAUUAAAUUAUAAUUAAAAAACAAAAAAAAAUUUUAAAACAAAACUAGUGCACCGGAUGCACCAAAAAAAAAUCCGACUGCUCUCCCAACAGGGAGAGCAACAGGAACAAUGGGUCUGUGUGGUUUGCGUGCCACGUGGCACCCAUCCGGGAGCGGCCCCAAACAAACUUGUUUGGGGCUGGUCCCCAUAUAAUUUUUGUCCAAAAUCCUCAAGCUUUUGGGCAGGUUUAAAUAUGGUACGUUCUUGGAAUACAUUAUGUGAGCUUAGAUUGAGCUGAAAUUUUCUAAAAUAGAUAUCAAGGAUCGAAUUAAGCAAAAUAGUAUUAUAAUGUUUUCAAUUUCAAGUCCGAUUGAACUUGUCCAGCUCAAAACUAUUUUGGGCCUAGACUAGCUAGGAACAAAAGUUUGAUGGGGAUUACCGACCGUCCCUAGCGCAAGUGGCAAAAAGGCUUGAUGGUUGGUAUCCGAGACCCAAGUUCGAAUUCUAGUUGAUUCACAUUUUCAGCUAAAUUUAUUUCUAAAUGAAAUAAAUAAAGCGGGUAGCAUGCUACCUUUCUCUCUCAAAAAAGAGUUUGAUGGAGAUUAUAUAUCUAACGUUUAAAUCGUCAGAUCUAUCGUUCAUCACGUGAACAAUAUAAAUCUCGAGGCUAUGUGAACGGUAGAUAAACAAGUCUUGUGCAAAUCUCAAAACAAACUAAAUUAAGAAGUUUGAGAUUAUGUCGCCUUAAUACUUCCGGACUUAAAAAGAGUAUAAAAGAAAUUAAGAAGUAUUCAAUUUUUAUCGUCCUAAUAUUAUAAUAUUAUAGUAAAAUUUAGCUGUUACGGACAUGAUAUCUUCUUCUUUUUUUUUCCGAUUUCUCCUUUACAAUUAUCCAAAGUCCUAAGGAGAUCACUGUUGGAAGUUACGCUGGGCCUUUUAGAAGCAUCUCUACAGGUAUCGAGACUGCGGAAAAGAAUGCUGUAGAAUCAAAAGUUUUUUAGAAUUUUUAAGAGAGCAAUAAGUGUAAUUUCUUAGGAGCUUAUAGCUUUCUAUUUUGUCUUAUAGUUUUGUAACACUUAGCGUCGUUUUAUUUGAUAGCUCAAGUGGAAGACUGAUCUAUAUAGUUGUGGCCUCCACCCCCACUCUUUAGAAAAUCAAUUAUAAUAUCUCUACUCUUAAAUACAAUAUAACAUCUCUCAAACUCUCUCUCUCUCUUGUACUCAAUCUGAGGGGGAGUAGAUUCAAAUUAGCAAGUAGAGAGACAGACUGAUUCACUUUGCAAAGAAAGACAAGUACGGCACAAACUUGACAAAAGAUUUUGCUUGAGCCCGCAGCACGGCGCUUAUUUCCACCAUCAUUUUUAUCAGUUCAGACUUCCAUAAGUGAAAGACCGGGCAGUGUGAAAAGUACCCCCUACCUCGGUGAUAGUUCCUCCGUACUUUUAAUAGUGUGAUAUGUUAUUGUCAGAAUCCAUUCCAGUAAGUUGGUGGCAUAAUCUUUUUAGGCACCUGUGUCAUCCAAUGUGCAAGCGAUCAAAAUGUCCCUUUCACUCUUCACUACCGAUAUUAGCACUUGAAGUAUCUUUGAAAUGGAGCUUCGUACCUUCUUUAAAAAAUCAUUAUCAAUAUCAUUAGGCGCAUAUAAAAUGAAUGAUUGAAGUCGGACGACUUUCUAAUUAUGGAGAACCAGAAUCUUGCAUGAAAGAUCCGAACCACUAGUCUUACGCUAGAUAGUGAAUAAAUUUUUUUUUAAUUAAAAAUUCAAUUAAUUUUGCUUGUUGUAUACUUUUAAAUGAGAAAAUCUCUUUUACAAAUUGUAAAAAUUGUAAAGUUUAAGACCAUUUUGAUUUUAAGGUUGUUGUAUAAAUCAUUUUUUUAAUGAUAUAUAUCAUUGAUUUAAAAUCUCUAUCAUGAAAAAUAACUAACAAAUAUAUUCAUCUUUGUACUCAUAACAUCAUAUUAAUUGAACUCCAAUAAAUCAUCAACUCUCCUGUGUGAACAUUUUUAAAGCUGCUAUCAGUCCUCUGAAGUAUUAUCCUUGUAAUCUGUUGACGUAUUGACAUAUAUAAUACGAAGGAUUGUACUUAGUAAAUACACACAAUUCAAAAGCAGUACUUGUUUCAUGCGAUGAACCCAAGCAUUUUCCACAAUCCACACUCUUUACGACCUGCUUACUUGUUCCUAACUGUGGUAGUCGCCUGUAAGUAGGCGAGGCCACCAUACUUUGCUGAAUUUGGCUUCAGACCCACCUGCAGAUGUAAAACAGGGAGGGAAAACAAAGGGGCUGAAUACAGUGACAAGAUUCAAACACAAUAUGAAAUGACAAAAAGAAACCUAAAACUGAUGUGAAGCAAACCAGCACCUUGCUCAAAUCUGCCAAGGUGAUGUCUUAAGUACGUUCCAGAUACCGGAACCUCAGUAAGCUUGGCCAUGCUGCGACACAUUAUACUGAGAUUGUUUGAUUAUAAAUGUCAGCUGCGACGCUGUGCAAUAAGCUUCGCAGACAAGAACCAGAGGAACGAGAAGCAUUCUAUGGGCACUUUCGAACAGAGGGCAUUGUGCAGUACAUUCAUCAACAACAGAAUAAUGCUCAGAUUGGAUACGAUUCCUUCUGUGAUAAGAAACUACCAUUCUUUCUCAGAUAUGAAACUAUCAGCCAAUUUAUUUCCAUAUGAUCAUUAAAAUAAGAAAAUAAUGUGGUAAAUCUUACCUAAGCAAUAACAACGAGAGGGUUAGUGAUAAAUCAAAAGAUGGUAUAUUCACAGAAACUCGCACAUAGUCAUGCACAAUAUACUAUAGUUGAAAUCUCCUCAAUCCAGCCUGCAUUCAGAUCACAUGAAAUCCAUACCGACUUUGAAAUAACUAAACGGGGUCUAAGUUAGAUAUUAGAAAGAAAGGUUACAAUAUUUAGUUCAUCAAGGAUGGAAAAACACUUGCAGGGGAUUACAGGAAAAUUUGCUCUACAAAUGAUCACACAAUUUAAACUUAUUACUACAUAUAUUUACACUCUGUAAGACAUUAAUGAGAGCAAAAGAGAAUGUAGAUCUUUACUGCUAGCGGAGAUCUACUGCUAGCGGAUAAUGUCUCAAUCGUGAACUUUAAACUGCUCUCCCAACAAGUUAGCAUAUAUAUAUAUAUACAAAUGCAUAUAAUUAAGUCGAAGACUAACUCAAAGCUGCAAUCUUUUUUUUCUUUUUUUUUUUCCUUUUUUUUGAGAUUUUUCACCAUCUGUUCAACCCCAUCUAGGCAAUGAUAGUGUUACUGCAUAUAACUCCCCUUUUACUCCACCGAACAUAAAAGCUUGGUUCAUGUUCCUAAGAAUAGUUGGAGAAAACAAUGCCGUCCACGACCCAUAAAAGGAUUCUACUUGCUCCUAUUUUACAUUGAUAAGAAUGAUUGACGAAGCCGGAUUUCGGCCUAGAAAGGCACAAAGCAGCAGUACUUCUUCCCAAGCUUUGCAACCCGACCAAAAGAGCUGCCUCCAGGCCCCGGGGGAGACCUAUUACCCUGUGAGCCUUCAGGAGGAGUUCGGUUCACAUUGCUAUUGUGAGACUUGGUUGAUGAAGAAGCUUGACUAGUGGUUGGGGAACUAGCAUCUGAUGAGUUGCCAUGCACGCUAGCUGUAACCACAACAUUGCUGUUUUGGCUUUGGAUCGAGCCUGUAGCAGAGGUCAGUGUAGAAAUCAGGCAAUGUCAACAAAAUGGAUCAAAAUAAAAGGCCAAAGCCCACAAUCCAGCAUACAAAGAAAAGGAAAAGAGAAUCUAUAUGGCUCUUGAAAACAAUUGAGAAUCUAUAUGGCUCUUGAAAACAAUUGAAAAGGAAAAGAGACGGGACCAAGAUGAAUUACUCUUUUAAUCAAGGAAUAGAAGCAGAGGAAUAAGAUGGCUAUGUUCAUAUAAACAAGAAAGGCAAGAGAGAAAAGUAUAAUCUCUCUAGACUUUUCUAGAGAGAGGAGAUCUGUGAAAUCUGUCCAUUUCCUUCAGAAGCAAAUAAAAGUUGAGAGAUGUAGUUCUUUGUCAUCAAGAAAAAUAGAGAACAAAUGCAGCAUGUUAGUGGUUGUUGUCGACUAAAACUAGUGGGCCUCCUAUUAGAAUAAAUAAUAUACUUUAAGAAAUAAAAAGCCUUUUCCAGCAGGGUGACUUUUGACUAAGAUGGAAAAUUGGAUAAUCUAUCAUGUGGUAUGAACCAAAAAAAAAAGGAAGCAAUAUGCAUGGAUAGAACAACAAAAACCUCAAUGACAAGGAUAAGAUGCUGCAAAGAAUAAGAUUUCUAGUUCUGCUAGAUCUAAACAAGGAAGUCAAUAAAGAUUUAUCCUUUUUAUUAUUUAUUUAUUUUUUUGGAAAAAAAUUGAAGAGGUAGAACACCUCAACCUACUUCAUUCAUUAUAAAGGAAGUCGAGAAGCAAGAAGAUUGGGAUGCUUUGUGGCAAUGAAAUAAGCUACUAGAAAACAAAACCAGAAUACUUCACCUACAUUAUGUAAGUUAUUUGUCAUAUUCUGAAAUUUUAAUUGAGCAGACAUGUGUGCCAACUAAGUGCACAAGUGAAAUUAUGGCGGGAGUUCUUCAGUAAAGAAAGAGUAGAAGGCAAAAAAUAAAAUAAAAUGAAAGAAUUGCAACUCUUAAGGACAAAGUAAGAUUUAAGUAACCUUUCAGAGAAUUGAAAUAAUAAACAAGCAGGGCAACACCUUACUCAGGAUACAACCAAUGCAACUAUUCAAAUGAAGUGGAAACAGUACAUGUAAAUAAUGUAAAAAUAGAUCUAGCACAGACGAUUAGAAUUGGCAUCUAAAUAAACCAUGGGGCAGCCAUACCUGGCUGUGGCGGCCUGAUAACCACCUGAUUUGAUCUUACUAAUGUAGAUCUGCUAAACCUGUAAUCUGUACGCUCUUCCUGCAAGCUUUGACUAUUACAUCCAUUCACGAGAUCCCUCAGUAGUGCAUCAGCAUCGAAGAGCUCAUCAAACUUAUUAGACCUGUUACUCGAAUUGCCCGAACUGCUCGAAGAUGAGUCUGGACUUAAUAGAUCAUUUAUUUCCAAGUAGUCGCCAUUAGAGAUGUCGAACAUGGCAUUAAAUUCCUCAGCAGAGUGAUCACUUCUUGGCUCAUUCAAUAGACUGCCUGCAUUAGUCACGCUCGGCUCAUCCCCAGCUACAAUCUGGAAAAUUUUGUAAAAAACCCAAUGCGGGAAUCUAAAAGUUAUGUCAUUCCAUCAAUAACAAUUGGAGGGAACAUUAAGUCUUACAGUUUCUACUAAAUGGGAAAAAUUCAUAUAAUCUCAGAAUUUCUAGACUUCGGUGAAAACAAUCAAAAGAUUGAGACUCAACAGGAAAAAAAGGCAGGAAAAAAAAGAUAAAAUAUUACAUAUUUGGACAAACCUGGGAUUUGUUUAGAGGCCCCUGUGAAGAGAAAUUACUUUCUUGUCCUGGAAGAGAUAGCAGAUAUCGUCCUAAGCUAUCACAAUCAGCAUCACCACUGAGAGAUUUAUUCUGCCCAUCAUUAUUUGGCCAUUGAUCAAUUUGCCGGAAGACUCGACACAAAGAACUGUAGUCCUGUAAAUAAUGCCAAUGCAUUAAAAAUCAAAAUACUAGGAGCCAAAAGGUCAAGAUAAAUAAGCAGAAAACUACUUAAAAGAGUAGCAAGGUACCUGCACUGCAGCAAGACCUUGAGGCUUCUGAUCUGCUUGGUAUUCAUGCAUUAACCACCCAGUUCUUUUUCCAGAAGGUACUUGACCUUCAUAAAAUUCUAGAGUGGUUUUCGUCCCUACAGUCUGAGCGCUCGUCGGUAUUCUAUGAGCAUCCAUGGACUUCCAAUAUCCAGUUCUUGUCACCUUAAUAUUGUUUUCCUGAUUCUCUGUAUUAGGAGACUGUUGGUCUUCCAAUUUGUACAAGUACCAGACAUUUUCUGCAAGAGAGGCUUCGCUCAUUAGCUGUUUUUCCACCUACCUAUUAUCUGAAAGUGUACAGCAGAAGGAUUCAAGGAACUAGUUAAGUAUUGCAAUGAGGUUACUGUUCUGAUGUGAAGUUAGUGAGUUCUGAUUUUUUUACAUGCAACUAGGAUAAUACUAUUAUAAGCAAAUUAUAUAAAUUAUAUCAGCCAAAGUUUUAUCCACCUGAUUUAUGGGUCUCUUGAGCUCUUCCAAAAAUGAGCAAACUCUAAUUCUUGCUGAAUCUGAACUAAUAUAAAAAAUUCAUGUGCUAUCGCAACAUUAUCAGGAAAUUCAAGAUUUGAGAAGUUACUGAAGCACCACUAGAACAUCAAAAAACAAGUCCUAUCAUUCUCUGGCAUUUUCUUCUGAGGCCACCCCAGCUCAGGAAAUGGGUUGUUCAGAAUCUCUAUUGCACGAACUGUAAAUAAAAGAAAAAGAAACAUCUUCUCAACUCAGACAUUGUUUCAAUUUUACUAAAGUACCCAACUUUUAAAUUUAGGAUCUUAAUUCAACUAAGUUGAAACCUCCUCUCAGACGUCUCCCACUGAUAAUAAAUAAAACUGAAGCCAACACCUUUUUCUGUAAACUGUUGUCUAUUUACAGUAACUGAAAGUGCAUGAGCAAGAAUGUUUGCGAUUGCAAUUACAUGGAAUUUCAUUUUCACUACUGCAUGAGCAUAUAUGCAUGUGCACCAGUAUGCUAGUGAGCUCAUGCAAGUUCACACGCAUCUGCUUGGUUAUCUUGCAUGUACCGCUUGUUGUGUAAAUGAAUUGCUCAUUAACAAAUCCCGGUGUUUGGAGAAAAAAGAUAUUUUAACAGCCUGCUUUUAGCAUUAAGGUUUUUCACUCAACAUACUAUAUUCUAGACCUGCAAACAAUUGUCCACAAGCUUUUCAUCUGCCUAAUAACUCACAUCUGCAAUAAAGUCCAAUCCGCAAACUCUAUCAAAAUAGUGCAAACUUGAGCAUCCCACAACUUUUACGAGUACCUGGGCUUACUGAGGAUGGUAAAGAGCAUGUUAUUGGCUCAUAACCUCAUACAGAAUUAAAAUAGAUAAGGAUAAUUAUAAGCUAAUAGAAUAAGUGAAUUAUCAUCUGCAUUUUUUUCAAAAGAAACUAUCAUUUGCAUCCAGCGAUACAUGAGUAUUCUCUGAACUAAAUCAACACAUAAUUUCACAAAGGAGAUUUCACAAAGGAACUAUUGUAAUACAAAAAAAUUUCACAUGAAUAUUGAUUAGACAAGUAAUCCUUGAUCAUUCUGUUAAAAGUGGAAACUAACAUAAAAGAGGCAAACUGCCCAGGAAAGACAAUAAAAAAAAGUGGAAGAACUAAAGGGUAAAGCUUUUUAUGGACCAUUAAUGCAACUAAAUGGGUUUAAUAAAACCCUAAAAAUUAUAUUAGACUAACUGAACAACCAAUUACUCGAGAUAAUUUCCACUAGAAUAACAAAAAUUGCCAUCUUCACAAUCCUAAACAAUUUUCAAGUAUAGCCAACACCAAAAUUGAAGAAGAAGACGAAGGACACCAAAUUAUAAAAAAAACCCCUUCCACUUUACCCUUUGUCUCAACCAAGGAUUUGAGUGCCCAUCGGCACGGCCUAUCUCCAAUGUGCCAUAUCGUCCCAAUAAGAUAUCAGCAUCAUACGGCCUUCGUGUCGAUGGGAUAGCUCAAAGCGUUCUUUUUUAAAAAAUUAGUAAGUUGUUUCCUCAAUAAGUUCAAAAGAUUUGAGGAAGAUACCUAAUAAUCAAUUAGAAUAUUUUGUUGCUAAAGAAAAUAAAUAUUCGACACCAUUGUGUCGGAUACAUAUACUUUUUUUUGUGAGUGGCAUGCAUCGAUACGACACGACACGCACUAUGCCAUACCAUGCCAGCAAGUUUUCAGCACGAUCCCGUGCCACGACACUUGAAUCCUUGGUCUCAACUACCCAUGUGCAAAAAAAUUGCAUCCAUUUCAAUCCUGCACUUUAUCAUGACCUGAAAUAAGCUCAAUAAUUUUGGAUGACUAUUGAUUUUAGAUGUCAAAUUUAAUCAAAACGAAUAGGUGGAUGUUGUUGGUUAUAUUAAAUGGAGUAGAAUUACAUUUGAAUUGCAUAAAUUGAAAUAAUAAACUGCCUACUUUGGUAGCUCUAGCGAAGGUGGAGAUCUCUUUUAUUGAGUUUUUGAUCUUUUCAAAUUGUAGCUAAGACAUACAUUCACAUAAAACAAAAGCAAAAUUCCAGCUCAUUCAAGAUGAAAAUUUUGCAUUUAAAUUCUACAAUCAUCACAAAAUUUGGGCCUAUUCAAGAAAUGGUAACAUGUAGAGUGCUAAUUGAUGCAAAUUUGAAUACAAGGGGACAAUUGAGACACAGGCUAAAGUGCAAGGAUUCUUUGUAAUUUAGCCAAAACAAAGAAGUGGCACAUGCGUCAACAAGUAAAUGAAAUUUAGUACCUUCUUAUUAGUUAUAGCAGGACAAGGAAUUAAAGAAGCAACUCUUUAGCAUAAACCAGUCUAACCAGAAGAAUUCUCCAGCUCGAUGCUGAAAGGAUCAACAUCUGUGAUCACAUUAGCUGGUAUUGGGUCUCCGACUUUCCUUCCUCCUAGAUAUAAUAUGAGUUCUUCGUCAGUCGAACUCAUGUUAAUAUCUUGCAGUGUGGAGAUAGGAGUCGAAGGACACAUGACGAUUCAGACGAGAAGAAGCCUAAUAAUUAACAAGUAUAGCAAUAUUAGUACACCCCCAAAAUAGUAACUCAGCUGAACAAACAUGUUCUUUGAAGAGUAUCUUAAAUUUUCCAUUUUAAUCAUAUGUGUUUCACUCGCUAUAAUUUUUGCAUGUACUAAAUAUCCUAAUUUUCAAAUAUUUCCCUUUCUACUACAAUAUUAUAAAAGGUUCGAAUUCGUUGUUGUUUCAAAAGAAUUAACAAUACUAUCGAAAUUUUUGAAGAUGCUGCUUGAAUAAUCAAAAGAAGUCAAACUAAUAUGAAAUCAAACAAAAAGAACACAUCAAAAACACCAAGAAUCUUAAGGACUAUUAAAAAAAGAUGCAAAAGAAUACUUAAAAAAGAAAACCAUGAGAGAAAACGAUCAUAGGCUUUCCUUGCACAGCAAAUCCAACGCAAAAUAGAAGAUUUCCUCUUUCAAAAACCCUCGCUUCGAAAGAUCAGCCGAAUCGAACUAUUCACAAUAGACCUAGAAAAAAUUAGGGCUCCAAUUACCAACAAAAUCUCCAAAUUCCCUAAUCGAGACCCAACGAUUCGAAAUCGAAGAUCUCAAUCAAAUCCAAAGGAAAAGAUAUUCCUCGAACCUCUCAGCUAAAACCCCAAAUUUCCCAAUAUCCACGAACAUCAAAAGCUAAAAAAUAAAAAAUAAAAAAUAAAAAUCCUCGCAAAAUCGAGUCCAAAAAUCAAGGAAUCGAAAAACCGAUUCGAGAAUAACACAAAUCCCAUAUACAGCAUCUAGAAUCAAGAAUCAAGAAGCAGAAUCAAAAAAAACACAAAAGCAACACCUAAUCUAGAAUCAGACCUUAAAAGAGCGUAGCACGAAUCGGAGAAGAGCGAGGAAUCGCCUCGGCUCUUCGCGCCUCCACUCACACUCUCUCUCUCUCUCUCUCUCUCUCUCAAAACACGGUGAGAGGAUCGAAAUAACGAAUUGUUGGGAUAGGAGCAAAAGGUCCCUUUUAUAGCCCGCGCAACGAGAAACCGUGGCCCGGGCAUUGUCCACCACAUCACUCGUGAACGGAACCAUUAACAACUCGACACGUAGCCCUAAACUGAAUGUAGCCCCUUUUCUUGGGCCGGUUCAGUAGGCCGGUUUCAUGCGAAAAAUAUGUAGUGGGUUUAGUAUUUUUUUUAAUUUUUUAACCAGUGUUAACUUAAACCAGCACGCAGUUAAGCAGUGCUUUUAAACCUCUCCCCCUAUAUUCCGCUUUAUUUACACCACCUGCCACUCCGCCGUGAAGUUAAACGCCCGCGCCAAUGACCGUUAACAACCGUCGUUAAUGUACCGUAGCAUUGCUCUUGCUGAGCUCUUAUUCGCCAAGUAAAUUACCACAUCAGUACCUAACCAUUGCUCAUUUUCACUUUAGUCCUUAAAAUUUUAAUUUGUUAAAGUAGAAGGUUUGAGCCAUACUUCAAUUUGAAACCAAAAAAACGAAAAUUUGAUAUUAUAAUAUGCCAAAAAAUUGCUUCUAAAUUCAUCAUACAUAGAUUAAUUAAUGGAUUAUUUUCACAUAUAAAUUCUAAGUUGGCUUGGAACUAAAUUUAAAAGGUAAAAAUGUAUAGAACUUAUACGACAUUAUGGGCUAUUUUGAAUAAGGUACCUAACUUUGUAAAAUUUUGAUGUUACUAUCUAAUAUUUCGAUUUGUUUGAUUUAACUCAGCCAACGAUAUAUUAACUUCAAAAUUUUAAUCUAAUUACUUAAAGUAAAUGAUGCAUUCAAAUUUUAAAGUCAAAGUAUCGUUAAUUCACUUAAAUCAAAUAAAUUGAAAGGUUAGACGGUAAAAUUAAAAUUUUACAAGAUUAAAUAAUUAAUUUAAAAUAGUUUAUAAUUCAGAUAAAUUUUGUACUUUUUAACCAAUUUAAAAAAUAAUAAUAGUUUGAAAAUCUCGAUGUGACAAAUAUCAGGUAAUGGAUAUUAUACUGAUUUCAUGGACAAAUUAAGAAUAAUAAAUCUUUUAGCUAGAAUUAUUAUUUGUCUUAAGUCGAAUAAUAAAUAGAAUGAAAAUUAACUUUGUCCUAUUUGCUUUUCCAUCAUUUUAGUACUAGAUCUUAUAAUGCUUUUUAGCUUUAGCUUUUAUCUUUCUAAAUUAUCCAUAAAAUAUUAAUAAAUAAAAAAUAUAAAACUAAAAGAAUGAAAAAAUUAAUAGAAAAAAAAGAUCCUGAAUCAAAAUAGUAUAUUUAGAUCAUUCAAAAAGAAUCCAUCAAAUAAAAAGCAACUCAAAAAUUUGUAGAUGAAUAGAAAAACAUAGCGGUGAAUUUAAAUUGUUUUUUUUUAAGUUGAAAGUGAGAAUAAAUAAAUAAUUAAUAAUUUGUAGAUGAAUAGAAAAACAAAUUUUUUUCUAAUUAAAAUUUUUUUAUUAAAAAAUUAUUAAUUAAAUAAAUAAUGUAAAAGUAUGAACUUUAUGUUUUUUAUUUUCAUAUGUUUAACUUCUAAUUAUUUUUUUAUAUUAUUACAUUAAAAUAACUUAGAAAUUUUACUAAAUUUAACGGUAAUUUUUUAGUUUUUUAGUCAAUAAAAUUAACAUAGCUAUUAAAUUUAGUGCAAUUAUUAAUUUAGUCAAAUAAAAGAGCUCACCUAAGAUAAAUAAAAGUUUUAAAAAAUUAUUAAAUAAAAUUUUUAGAGUAGAAAAAUAUAUUACAAAAUACUCUAUGGGCAAGAAACUUUUAAUAUAUUUUCACUCAUAAAAAAAAUAUACCGAUUAGGAGAAAGAGAGAGAGUUAUAUUGGCACCAUAUUAUUAAAUAAAUAUUGAAAAACUAGGGGACCAAAGUUAUCCAUGAUCCAAAAAAAAAAAAUUUAAAAAAUCAUUAAAUAAAUAUUGAAAAAUUGAGGGGGGCCUUGGCCACCUUGGGCCUCGGUAUAGCUUCGUCCCGGAUGAGCAGCAUAUUUAGGAGGCUUAUAAAAGUCCACAUUUUUGUGUGUGUGACAGAGAAUUAAAUGAGCCACGUACAAUGGAUGUUUUUGUGUGAUAUGUGUGUUUGCGAGAGAGAGAGAGAGAGAGAGAGAGAGAGAGAGAGAGAGAGAGAGAGAGAGAGAGGCACUUUUUCAACUAAGGAAACGUGCAUGAGAGCUGUAGCUUUCACUAAUUUGCAUAUUACACUAGCUUUUAUUAUUCGCAUUAUUCAUUUUCUAUAAAUGAACUUAGCUAGAAAUAUAAAAUAAUCAGAAUGAAUAUCGAAUUUGAGACUUCGGGUAUAAAUUAUAAAAUUCUUAGCCAACUAUAUUAGAUACAGUCAGUAAAUAUUUUACAAUAUUAAAGAUUUAUUUUGAGUCUUCUUAAAUUCAAACUUUUAUUUAUUUUAAAGUUUGUUUUUAAAAAGUGUAAUCAGAAUAAGCAUUACCACAUACAAUUUUCUCUUAUAUCUAGUUCUAUUUGUUGUAUAUUGAAUGUUUUUUCUUUUUCUGUUAGACCGCGAAAUUCAUUGCUACAAAAAAUUUGGACUUCUUGCUUUCGUUACAGGUAAUGAUGGUUAAAAUUAGACAUAGAAGCAACACAUGUACAUAAUACUAUUUAGGAAUUGUUUGAUGCUUGUAGUUGUAACUAUGCUUCAAUUAUAAUAUACAGAUCUAAAUGUACAAUUUCAUUUGAUAUAUUUGAAUCAAACUGCUAAAAUUAAAACUGUACAAAAAGGCUCAAGUGCAACUAUUGGAACCAUAUUCAAACUGAGUGUAGCUCAAACUGUUGCAGUUGAAAAGAAAAUUAAGCAAAUUAAUAUAUAAGAUUACCUUAUUAAUCAUCUUUUAAGAUAGAGAUAUUGUUUUCUUCUAUAUUGGAUAACCUUACUAUCCAUCUUUAGGAUAAUAAAAUUUGUAAUAUAAAUUCACACUGAUACUUAAGUCAACAAAUUAUUUAUAAUUUUAUAUAGCACAAUCUACUAUAUAGUAUAUACAACCAAAUAUAUGUCUACUUUUAGCUAUAUGUGUCUCCUAUUAUACUACAAAUCACAAGAGUUUCUUUAAAAAAAGAAAAUUUCUUUUAGGAGCACAAACAAAUAUUAAAUACCCCCCACAUGCAAAAACCCUCUUAAAAGUGUAUAAUUUUGUCUCACAUACACACACAAAUAUGGAGAGAGAGAGAGAGUCCAAUCACUAUACUUUUAUGACUAUGAUUAUUUUUGUAUUCAUAAGUCAUUUCGAUGAUGAAAUUUUCGAAUUGAUGCAUGAUUUAUAUCGUUAAAUAUAAUUUAAAAUAUUUAAAAUUUUUAAAAAUUAAAUUUCAUAACUUUUCGACAUUAUUUGUCAUAAAAUCAAAAUACUUCCAAAUUAAUAAUUUUUAACGAUCGAUAUGGAAUGCUUGCGAGUUUAACAAUAUAAAAGAAUCAGAAUAUGUUGUUUUUUUGAUAGAAAAUUUUAUUCACUAUUUAGAUAAUGAUUAAUAACUCCGAUUUUAAAUUGAAAACUUAAAUCUUCUAUUUUUAGGAGGUCAUUUGAUUUUAAUCGUUCAUUUUAUAUCCGCUUGAUGGCCUUCAUUAUAAUUUCAAAAAAUUACAAAUUUUAUUUUCUCCAAGUUUCAAAUGCUCUUCGUUAUGUUUAAUGGUAUGAAUGGUCAAUUCAAAAACGCUAUCAUCGAAAAGGACUUAACUAUAAGUAUAAAGAAUCACGCUGUUCUCUCUGAAAUCGAGAGUCGAUUGGGCUAGCUCUUUAACUUAAUCUAGAGCCCUCAGAUCUGGAGGGGGCCGCACAAAAUACAAUACGGAAAGAACACAACUUUUAUAUAUAUACUAGUGUAGUGAUCCGCGCGUUACAGCGGGUAGAUACCGUUAAAGUAAAAAUUUAUAAAGAAUAAAAUAUCAGUUUAGUACAAAAAAUAAUAAAUAUAGUUUACACUAUAGACAAAUAAUUUUAAAAAAUAAAACUAUAAUAAAAAAGAAUUUAAUCGUUUCAACAAAAUUAUUCAACCUUGUUCAAGAAAAGUUGCAUAUCAUACAAAUGGAUGAUUAAAAUUAUUUCUAUAAUACAAUAAUCAAAUAAGAAAAAAAUGAGAAAAAAAUAAGGAAAAAAAGUAAUCAAAUGAGAAAAAAAAAAAAAUAGGCUCCACUCUUCUCCAAAUUAAGGGGGUGGAUACAUGUAGAAUUUAGUCAUAAAAAUUAAUGUAUAGAUAUAGAUAUAGAAAGAAAGAUUAUUAUAUUUUUUAAAGUACGAAAACUUUUGUACUUAUAAUUAAGUUAUUUUCGAUGAUAAAAUUUUUGAAUUCUUAUAUAUAUAUAUAGAGAGAGAGAGAGAGAGAGAGAGUAAUAUUAUUAUAUUUUUUAAAGUACGAAAAUUUUUGUACUUAUUAUUAAGUUAUUUUUUAUGAUAGAAUUUCUGAAUCAAAUUUAAAAUAUUUAAAAUUUAAAAAAUAAAAUUUAUAAUUUUUCUAAAUUAUAAUAAAUUUUAUCAAGCCGAUAAAAUCACAAUAAGUAUCUGCCAAUAAAAGGNAAAAAAAAAAAAAAAAAAAAAAAAAAAAAAAAACUUUUCCUAUCAAAAGAAGGCGCAGCAAGUCAACGUUAAGUACUUUAAAUAAGAGCCGUUAACGUUACCUAACGACGUUAGAAGGUCGUUUAUUUUUUUAAAAUUUUCUCGUUUACAAGAAUACAAGUAGCAAUUCAGUUAAACCAAAAAAAAAAAAAAAGAAAAAGGAAAAGAGCCAUUGAUGUGUCGUCAACGGACACGUGUCAACACUCGAUGCUGCAACGGCAAUGACUUUUAGUCAACGGUGGGUCCCACGCGGUAGAAACUUAUCUCCUGCACCUGGUGCACACGAACACUUCAAUGCGCCGCAGUUAAUAGUUGAUAAUUAAUAUUUUUAAAAAUAAAAAUUUAAUUAGAGAAUGCGAUUUGCACCAUCUAAAAAGGCCCCGUGGGAUACCUUCAAAGAUUACAGCGAGAUAAUAUAGUUAAAAAAAAAUUGUAUGUAUAUAUAUCAUAGUGAGUUGAUUAAACUAUUAAUUUUUAUUGUUCUAAAAAAAUUAAUAAUAAAAUAUAACUAUUAUUUGAUUUGUAAGAAUGAGGUAUCUGAAAUUUAUGAUUUUAAUAUAGGGGAAUUUUAAAUUAAUAUAAUAAAUUUAAUAGGUUAGAUUUUAAUUUUGAAACUUCGAAACUAAGAGGGCGGUGUAUGACGUAUAUUUAUACACCCGGAGCAGGUAAUUUUUCUUUAGUCCGGGCCAAUCCAGUGAAAACCUCGCCCUCCACGUAAAAUCUCCUCUGACAUCAUUAUAUUAGUGAUGACGUCACAACCGUGCGUCAGAUGGAGGAAUCACUGCAUGCAACCAGUGUAGCAUGCACCGUAUUCCUUAACUUUUGCACCAGCAUGCCUAAAAAUUGAGAUUUAAUCUAUUGAAUAUAUUUUCCGAUAAUUAAAAAGCUAUAUUUUGAAAUCAUAUAUUUUGAAUACGUAUUUAUUAUGAGUAAAAGUAUUUUCUUUUUAAUACAUGUACUGUAAAUAUUUUUUUAUGGAAAAGUAUUUUGAAUACGCAAGCAGUAUUUUUUUUAUGUAAAUAUUUUUAAAUUUUUAAUAAAGAAUCAUACUAUAUGUACCGUAAAAUAUGACUUAAAAAAAUGCUGAUAUUAUAAUAUGUUGAGGGUUUGUCUGGUUCUAACUAUAGAAAAUAGUUUUCAGUCAAAGGAAAAAGUAUUUCAAGUAGAAUAAAAAAAAGUUUGACAUUUCUGUAAUAUCUGAAUUGUCAGAAGAAAAAAAUAUUUACAAGCUGUUUUUAUGUAAAAAGUUUUAAAGUAUCUAAAAUACCUGUAUAUAAAAAGUUACAAAACAAAUUAGUAUCUAAAGUUUAUAAACUGUUAUACACAAAUCUUAUGAAUGUGGCGAGUGAAAAAGAAGCCAGAAAUUAAAUUUUGAGGCUCCUAUCAUUAUUUUUUUGGGUGGGUGUAUGAGGCGCAGUUAUACACCCGGUGCAUUCAAUAUUUUUUUUUUUGAGACGGAGGGUGUGGAAUUACUUGCUGAGCUCUACUUGUGUGAGUGGACGGCUAAGAUCGACUCCGCAAUCCAUUGACCAAGUCAAGGACACGUCGGCAAAAGAUUCCGUGUCGUGGCACUUUGUCCUCUGUAAUUUUUUUUUUUUUUUUUUUUUUUUUUUUUUUUUUUUUUUUUUUGAAGUGUGGGCGAAAUUUUUGAGAAGUGCUAAGUGGCAAGUCUCUCCAAUUAUUGUUAUUGCGGCCUGUGAAGCAACAAUUGGAUGAAGCACUUUUUUAGAGGAAUUUUUUUCCUCCCCCUUCCUUUUUUAGGUUUUUAUUUUCUAAAAUUCUCAUUUUCUUAAAAACUGUUUGAGGUGUGUAAUUAUAAUUGCACUAUAACUGUAACUAUAUACAAAUUAAAUUUAAUAUUUGGUUUGAUAUUUUUGAAUCUCACUACUGAAAUUAGAAAUUUAUUUGAAACUACACCAAUAUUAGAAGCAGUUCUAUCUACAACAAGUGGAAAGAGCAAGUUUAAACCAAAUAAAAGUUUAUCACCCAACAAGUGAAAAGAGCAAGUUUAAACCAAAUAAAUGUUUAUCACCCUAAUAACUUUUUAAAUAAUAGAGUAGAGCUACUAUACUAUCGGAAGUAUAAAGUGAUUGAUCAUUUCUAAUCAUUGGAUUAAUAUUAUUAACCAAUGAGGACCACUCAACCAUAUGAGGACUAGCUAACCCUAAGGGGACCGCUAUCAUCUCAACCGUAGAAUUUUUGAUCAAAGAACUAAAAAAUCAGAAGCACCAACUAUUUUAUGCUUCCGAUAGCAUAGUAGCUCUACACUAAAUAAUAUAUAUAUAUAUAUAUAUAUAUAUAUAUAUAUAUAUAUAUAUAUAUAUAUAGAAUUAGGCUGGAAUACUAUUAAUAGUAAAACGCUCUUUUUGCUAUCAAGUUUUUAACCCUUGGAUGAAAAAUUGUAGGGUUAGGAUGAUAUUUGUCAGUUAAAGUUCAAUGGUCCCCCUAGGGUUGACUGGUUCCCACUGGGUUAUAGUAUUUAAUUCAAUGGUUAGAAAUGAUAAAAAGAGUUGAUCCAAAGACUAAAAAACUAGUAGCAACAAUAGAAUUUUGCUAUUAAUAGUAGCCCAGUCCAAUUCUAUAUAUAUAUUAUAGAGAGAGAGAGAGGAGAGAGAGAGAGAGAGAGAGAGAGGAGAGAGAGAGAGAGAGUUGUGCUGGUAUGUUUAUGGAAGCACGGAGGCCUCCGUGCUUCCCAGUCGUUUUCGAUGUUCGGACUUUCAAAUCGACGAUCGGCUCCGUUAGAGUUGAUCUAGAGUAUUUGAAGUAUCUAGAAAAUAAUUUUUCGAUAUCAUUUGCCUAGUGAUCGAAGGGGCUCAAAAUCAAUAAUUUUAACGGCCGUGGUGAGCCGGUUGCAAGUUUAACGGUAUAGAAAUAUCCAAAUCACAUGAAAUCAUGAUAGAAAAUUCUUUACACCAUAUAAAACAAGAUCAAUAACUUUGAUCUAAAAUUUUAAUUUCAUAUCAUCAUAUUUUGUAAGAUUUUUAUUUUCAGCCGUUGAUUUUGAGCCACUUCGAUCACUAGGCAAAUGAUAUCGAGAAAUCGCAAAAUUUAUUUUCUAGAUACUUCAAAUACUCUAGAUCAAGUCUAACGGAGCAGAUCGUCGAUUCGAAAGUCCGAACAUCGAAAACAAAGUGCAAGCACGGAGCUCUCCGUGCUUCCAUAAGCAUCCUAGCCGCACUCUAUAUAUAUAUAUAUGAGUUGGACUGGACUACUAUUAGUAGCAAAAUUUUAUUGUUACUACCAGUUUUUUAGCCUUUGGAUCAACUCUUUUCAUUAUUUCUAACCAUUGGAUUAAAUACUAUAACCCAGUAGGGACUACUCAACCCUAGGGGGACCACUCAACUCUAAACGAUUAAUAUCAUCCAGACCCUACAAUUUUUCAUCCAAGGGUUAAAAACUUGAUAGCAAAAAGAGUGUUUUACUAUUAAUAGUAUUCCAGCCUAAUUCUAUAUGUAUAGUCUGGCUGGUAUAUUAUCGGUAGCACGAAAACCUUCGUGCUGCGAAGUUAUUUUCGAUGAUGCGGCUUCCAAAUCAACGAUCGGCUAUGUUAGAUUUGAUCUAUACUAUUAAAAGCAUUUAGAAAUCAAAUUUUAUAAUUUUUUGACAUCAUUUAUCUAUUAAAUGAUUAGUCUAAAAAUAAAUGACUGAAAAUGAAAAUCUUAUAAAAAAAUGAUGAUAAUGAUAAUAGACUUGAAUUUAAAAUCAAAGUUACUGAUCUUACUCUAAGUAAUAAAAAAAAAUUAUAAAAAUUUCGUCAAGUUUGGAUUAUUUUAUACCGUUAAAUUUACAAACGCAUCACAUCAGCCAUCAAAAUUGUCAUUUAAGAAAUCUUUUGAUUACCAGCCAAAUAAUGUUGAAAAAUUAUGAAGUUUAGUUUUCAAAUAUUUUCAAUAAUGUAUAUCAAGUCUAACGGAGCCGAUCGUUGAUUUGAAAGACGCAUCAUCGCAAACAAGUUGGUAGAAGGGAAGCCUUCAUGCUACCGAUAGUAUACCAACUUAGUUCUAUAUAUAUAGAGUCCGGCUGGAAUAUUAUCGAUAGCACCAAGAGUUUGGUGCUAUCGAGUUUUUUACCGUUAAAUUUAAUCAUUUGAUUAUUUUUAUCCGUUAGAUUAUACUAUUCAACCAACUACUCAUUCAACACUAAAGGACCCAUAUCAUCCUAACCGCACAUUUCUCAAACGAGUGAAGCUUUUAAAAACUUUGCCCAACACAUAAAAAUCUCCUCUGGCAUCCGCUAAUUAAGGAUGACGUCACAAUCUUGCGUAAGAUCGAGGGAUCACUGGAUGCACCCGGCUUACCGUGCACCGCAUGCCUGAAAAUUGAGAUUUAAACCAUUAAAUAUAUUUUCAGGCAAUUAAAAGCUAUAUUUGAAAUCAUAAAUUUUGAAUAUGUAUUUCUUGUGAAUUUUUUUUUAAUACAGCAAUUUUUAGAACUAUUUGACGUAAGUAUAAGAAAAUCCUAUUAAAAAACUUUAGAGAAAAUUAAAAUAUUUUAUAAUUGUUUAUAAGUAGUGGUGCUUAAGCAAUUUAGUACGUACAAGAAUAAUUUUUUUGUCUAAAAGAAUUCUAAUAAAGAUCACUACAACAGGUUACGUCAAAGAUAUUUUAAAAAAAUGCCGAUGUUACAACAUAUUAAGAAGCUGUAUGGUUCCAACUAUCAAAAAUAGUUUUCAGUCAAAAAAUAAUAUUUUAGUAGAAGAAAAAAGUUUUACGCUUUAACAUCUGAAUUGUCAGAAGAGAAGAAUUAAUUUAUAAACAAUAUUUGGAUAAAAGUGCCUAAUUUGACAGAGAUGAUCUAUAAUAUCUAGAAUACCUACAUGCAAAAAAAUGUUCAAAAAAAUCAGUAUCCGAGUUUAUAAUUAUCUUUUAUAUAUAAAUCUUAUAAGUGUCACGGAACACACGAAAUUAAUUGAAAAGAGAAAAGAAAUUAAUUUUGAAGCUUCUAUUUUAGUUUUUUUUACCCUUAGAGGUGUGGUGUAAGGCAUACUCAUACACCCGGUGCAUUCAAUUUUUUUUUUUUUUUUUUUUGAGACGGAGGGUGUGGAAUUACUUGCUUUCCUCUACUUAUGUGAAUGGACGGCUAAGAUCGACUCCGCAAUCCAUUGACCAAGUCAUAGACACGUGGGUCAAAGAUUCCGUGACGUGGCACUUUAUACCCUGUAGUAAAAAAGUGUCGGCGAGUCUCUCCAAUUAUUGUUAAUUAAUUGCCAAUGUAGGGGGCUCUUUGACUUGGCUAUGGAGUAACAAUUGGAAGAAGCACUUUUUAUGAAAAAAAAAAAAAAAAUGCUCCCUCUUCUUUUUAGGUUUUUAUGUUUUAAAUUUUCUUUUUUUUAAAAAAAACUAUUUGAUUGCGUGUAAUUAUAAUUACACUAUAAUUAUAAUUAUAUAUAAAUUCAAAUUCAGUAUUUGAUUUGAUACUUUUGGAUCCAACUACUGGAGUUGGAAUUGUCUUAGAAGUCCCAACUGCAACAGUUGGAACUGUAUGAAGAGACCCAACUGCAGUAAUUAGAAUUAUACUCAAAUCAACCACAGGUGGGGAGAAUAAUUUUAAACAAAAAAUAUGAGCUUACUUCCCUAAUAACUUUUUAAAUAAAAAAAAAAAUUACAUUGGAAAUGAUUUUACUAUCACAUAUAUAAAAUAAAAAGAAAUUUAGGAAUGUGCUCCUUAACUGUAUGCAACUAAACAAAUUAUUUAUAGAUAUAAUAUUUUNGGACAAAAAUUUUAUGGACAGCAUGUCCAAAAAAUUUUUUUUGGGGAUGCUCCGGAUGCACGCCGCGUGGCUGAGGAGCAGGCGUCCAUCUCGAGGCUCCCUAGAGGCGAUCCCAAGUUCCCAACUCCCAACUCUACGCGGGAAAUGAAAAAAAAAAAAAAAAAAAAACAUAUUCUAAUCCCCCACCCCUACCCACACCCCACCGCACCCUAAAUUUUUUCAAAAAAAAAAAAAAAAAAGCCACCAAACCUCUGGUUUUCUAGAGAGAGAGAGAGAGCGAGAGAGAAAGAAACAGAGAAGAAAAAGCCAUGGUGAGAAGAAGCUGUUGAUGAACCAUGGUGAGAAGAAGCUGUUGAUGAAGAAGCUGUUGAUGAAGAUUAAGAAAAUGGACAACACCUUGGACAAAAACCCUAAUCAAUGUAAGAACUUUUAUUACUAUUACUAUUAUUUUAAUUAUAUUGACUUUAAAAAAUGUUUGCNUUUCCACCUACAUGCAUCUUCAACUACAUUAUAUAAAAUUUUCUUAACCUAGAAAUAUUGCGCUUGCUAAAUUAGAAUGUAGGAUUUGAUUGUAAUAAUUCAAAAAAAUCGAGUUAAAAAUUAUAACAAAUUAAAAUUUGAAGACUAAAGUGUCACGCGCCUCAUAAUUUAAGGACCAAAAGUGUAAUUUACCCUUAGUAUAACUUACUUGUAUUGACAUUUCAAUAAAGAGUUAUUUGUAUUAUAUUCCUGAUAAAAUUUUGCAUAGCUGUCCCAACCAGUUAACACAACUGCCAAGGAUAAAUGGAGUACUAAAACCCAAAAGAGUUGAAACAACUCUCGGAUGGUGGUGGUGUCAAAUAUAAAUUUCAUUUUGGAAUACACAUGUCGAAUUUCUCUAGAAUAAAGAGCAUAGAUUUUUUUUUUUUUUUUUNAUUUUUUUUUUUUUUUUUUUUUUUUGCAAUUUUUUGUAAAAUCUUUUUUUUUUUUGAAAGUUCAUAUUGUAUCCGGGAUAGUUGCAAACAAACCAACAAUAACAGGUGCUUCACGAUGUCAGUUGUAGUAUCCCAAGAAUAAGAUAAACAUCUGAAAAUGUUCAGUAUGAGUGAGCUUAGCCACAUAUGAAUGCAAAAUGCUUAGGAUGUGUUUGGUUUACGCAAUCUUGCAUGUGGCGAUUGCGUGGAACUUAGAAGGCUCGACAAUUGUGAGUUCAGCAUGUUUGGCGGAUUGAGCCAUAUCAAAUGCAAAAUGUAAAUAACUGCAUCUUUGUGUCGAGCGAGUGCAGUUGUAGCCUGUUUGUUUACUGAGGAUGAAAUUUGGAUUGAAGGAGUCGUUUGGAUGAAAUAAAGUUCACAUAAUAUCAUAAAUAUUACUACUCUGGUUCCAGAUCUAUAGAACAGAAGUUUCUCAAUUCUAUUGUUCAUUUGGCAAAAAAUAAAUAACAUAAAAGCUAAAAUUUUCAUGGUUAAUAAUUUAUUUUUUUUUCCUUACUCUUUUUUUUUUUUUUUUGGUGAUCAAUUUCAAUCUGAGAUGGACCACGAUAUUUUGAUGAUUUUAAGCUUCGAUCGAAAAUAAAACUACAGUAAACUAAAAAACGUAAAUAGCAUUUACGACCGAAAAUAACAUCAUCCUCACCGCUUUCAAUAAAACAAAUAUGCCCCAAGCGGUGGCGUCAGUGCGCUCGCACCUCGGAUUACUGAAUAACCCUAACCUUCAGGACAAAAAGGUAACAAUAAUUUAUUUUUUUGGACUUCUUGAUUCUACGCAAGAAACUAUUCCAUAAAAUAUGAUGUGAAACCAAGCACAUCUUUUGGAGCUAAAAACAAUGAACAACAUAAACAGUAUAUUAUUGAAAAGAAAAGAAAUCUUACAAUGUGUAUCUUGUCGCCGUGGUUACCCCUUGGAUCGUACAAAAGAGUUUGUAUAAGAAGUACAAGUAAAAAUCAGCUCUGUUCAUAGUACAACACUUUCAAGUACAAUGGUGUCCACAAACUGCAACCAAUCAAAUAAAUAUUUGCAAAAGAAUUAUAUCUUUAAUCAAAAUCAAUAAGUUACAAAAGCUUAAUGUCCUUGUCGUUUCCGUCUCUCUAACAAAUGUCAAGCCAAAAGCUAAUUAUAAAAUGUAGGGCCACAAAGGUUCAACAAUGAUCAGAACCUUCUGGGUAACUAAGUAGUAACCUUUCUUUUCUAUGCAGAACGAUCGAAGCAUGUCGCUUUCUUUGUUUCUAGAAGUAAAUAACGAAACAUACUGGAGUUCCUUAUGUGCAAGCUUGUGGGGUAUUGCCCAUUGAUGCGGUUAGCCGGAAUUGAUUUGUGAGUAGUUAGUUUAUAAAGUUGCUGAGAACUUCAGAACACGGAGGCAAUAAAAUUUCAAUCACUUUUGAUCUGCUUUGCUGGUUGAGGAAUGUUGUAUAGUAACAAGCCUAAUACCAGUAUUGCGGUACCAACAAUGAAAGAUGUGUUUAAGCUCGUCCCUUGGGGCAUGUAAGCCAUCGGAAGAGAGAGAAUGUAGAUGGAGGUGGGCACUGAGAUGAAAAAUUAGAAAAAUAAAUAAUAAUCAGCCCCGAACAGAUAUAGUAUGAGCCUAUAACAUUUUCUGCUUUGGUAAUUAGUAGUACCAAGGACUUGAGCGUCGCGGCACAAGAUCGUACCGAAAACUUGCCGGCACGAUACAGCACAAUGUAUGCUGGGCCGUGCCGAUGCAUGCUGGGCCGUGCCGAUGCGUGCCGGUCACAAAAAAUAUAUGUGUGCCGGCACAUAAUAGUAUGAAAUAUUUUUUGUUUUUAGCAACAAAAUAUUCUACUUGUUUAUUAUAUAUCUUUAUCAAAUCUUUUGAAGUUUAUCGAAAAAAUUAUUUACUAAUUUAAAAAAUAAAGGGUUUUGAGUCGUGUGCAUCGGCACGGAAGCUAUAUCUUGUUGGUACGAUGUGGCACGGUGGAUGCGGCCCUCUGCCAAUGGGCACCUUAAUCCUUGGUUAGUAGACUGAUGUUGCGUCUCUGAUUAUUCUGUUUUAUCUUGCCUUUUCUUUUCUUUUUCACCUUUUUGUAGCAAGACCUUAAACAUGACCAAUUACUUUUCUUCUAUUUCUUCCUUCUUUCUGACGGCACUAAGGGGAGAGAGAGAGAGAGAGAGAGAGAGAGAGAGAUAACCUGCUAAGGUUGCUGCAAGAGAGGCUACUAAUGCAGACGACAUCUUCACCAGAUUAAGCAAUGAUAUGUUGAAAGCCAUAUUCAUCACAAUAAAUAGUAGAGGCAGCAAUGGAGCUCCUUCACAAUCUGAAGAAAAUGGUAUAGCUUUAAUAUGAUAGAUCCAAUGUAAAACUAGAUUCAAAGAUAAUGAACUCACAUUUAUUAACAAUUUUGCUCUUCCUCAAGGACAAAAUGAUUUAGUGAUGGGGUCAGCAGUAUAGAAGCAUAGUCCACUAAAAUAGAAAGCAAUUCUCUUAAUUCUCUUGAAGCAGUUUUAUUGGAAUAAUAUUCUUCAACAAGAAGAAAAAGAUCAUUCUAUUUAAGGGGCAAAUUCCCCCUCUCCUUGCAUGGUAAGGGAUCGAAACCUAGCUAAAAUAUUUGACGCUACUUUGAAGAGAUAAAAGCAGAAACAAUAGGUGUCAACUGUCCCAAAAACGUAUAAAGGCAUAAACAAUAGGUGUAAAAGUUAUUUAACGUCACUGAGGACAUUGGCCAUGAAAGCUUAAAAUUCAUCACAAUUUCAAGAAAGAUCAAAUCCAUGGAUUGCAAAUCAAGAUAUAAAGAUCUUUUCCCCCCGCUAUUUUCUUAUAAGAAAAGAGAAUUUGGAUCCAAAGGUCAAUGUUAUAUGAAACAGCAAAGGUUUGACAGAAGAAAGCAUUAACUUACUAAUCUUUCUACAAAAUGAUAAGAAAUGAGAUUCCACCACUACCUACCUUAAAUACUUCAAGAUAAUAUAAAAGAAAUAUCAAUUCAAAGACAUCACUACAAAGAAAGAAACUUGCCUCUCAGAUUGCCUCCCACAUUCACAAAGCAUCCAGCACCAUGUUUUACGUAUGCAGGGAGCUCAGUGAAAGGAAUUCCUCUCAAGUUAGAAAGUAAAGGAAGAAGAAGAAAAACAAAAAGAGCCUGCAAGUUCAAAGAUAAGAAAACACACAAGAAUUAUGACACAACAAAGGAAAUGUUACCGUGUGCAGAAAUACCAAGCAAACUUCAAAAUAAUGUUUGUAAUAAAAACCAAAAAUAUAUGGCAGAAAAAUUAUUAUCAAAAUGAUUAAAACUCACCUGAAACCCAGAUCCAAAGGAAUUAACGACAAAUAUGUCAAGCGGCUUUCCCUACAAGAAAAGUAUCAAAUCAGUCAAAAAUAACAAAAUAGUAAAUUAUUUUUUUUCCUUCUUUCGUUUAAAAAAGAAUCAGGAGACCACACAACUGAGAUUUCCAUUAAACAAGCUAAAAACAAUAGCAAACCUGAAGACGCUUGGCACCAUCAAUAAAAACAAACUCCUGCGAUAAGUAGCAUAUAGCUUAGAGAUUUCCUAAUCAAGAAUUGAAAUAUAAUUAUAAUAAGUUAAUAACUAUCAGCGGCUUAAACCUUGAGAAUGGAUGCACCAGCUUGAAAUGCAGACGAAAGUAUCAUGAGUGCUGGCCAAAUAAAAUCAACUUCAGAUAGAAAUUGACCCUCAUUUGCACCACUGCAGUUAAAUGACAAAAAGGCAUUAAGAGUCUUCUGAAUAUCCAUCAAUAUAUGAAAACAAGAGGUCUUAUAUGAUAACAAUAGGAGACAAAGGAAACAAAUUUCACACUGGAAACACAAUGCGCAACAGACAUUUGUGUGAAUAAGCAGUUAAUUGUUGGUCGACGGUUUCUCAAUGCUGCUUUGGGCUUGUACUUUCUUAGGCUCUUUUGUUUACUAAUGCAUUCAUGAAUCAGGACGACGACAACAAUAUAAAUAAAAGGCUACCAUUUCGCUUUGAGUGAAAGCAUCCAAAUUGGCUUAAAUCCAAAUUAUUUCCAAAAAUAUGGAAUUCAGUUCCUAGAUCAUGUUUGGCUGUAUGGGUGGUUGAUUUGGAUUGCCAAUCAUCCAAAGUUACUUGAUAGUACUGAAGCGUGAAUACGCUCAAGCACUCUAGCUUAAUUCAAUGGAGAGUUUGCUUCAUCAGCUUGUUACAUUUCGGGAAUAUUCUAUUCAAAAUAGUGAUAAUGUCAUCAUGCAACUAAUAUUGGAAGGACAAUAGGUUUAUUGGGAAGUGAUGAAAUCAUCCAAGAUUCCCAACUAACAUUAUAUUACCAUAGGCUGUCGGUUUUGAUAUUACCUAACCAGCUGGGAAGCAAGGAUAAUAUGUGAUAUUGGAAUGAGGCAGAUAAAUAAAAAAAUGUAAAUAAAAAAUAAAAAUAAUAAUGGUUCAAAGAAAUCUCCUCUAUUUUUUUUGCAGGCUGAUGAGAUUUCCUAGUAUCUCUACUCUCGAGCUUUAAUCAUUAUACAGUGCUUACUAACGUGGGAGGAAGAAGAAUGAAGUAUUUGAAUUCCAGUGCAAAAUUUAGUCUUUUAGAUGAGAAUAGGACUAUUGGCAGACCUAAAAGAAAGGAGCAGCUUACAGCCUUACGUAAGUAAACAUAUACCCAAUAAUCUCAUAGCAAUGUCACCAAAGUAAUAUAGUUUUGCUGAUUAUGUAGAACAACUUUCUAUGAUGACAAAGGACAUGUGGACACCAAUUAUGAAUUGUUUGAUCACAACAAACUAAUGGUACAAGAAAUGACACAAAUAAUAACUCGAUAAGAAAAAAGACAAUAGAACAAAGAUGAUACAUUACACUGUGCUUGAAAAGUCCAAACUAUACCUUGCUACCGCAAGAAUUACGCCAGCUGUUACAAGGAAGCAACCAAAGAUUUGGUUGAGUGAAUAUUUCCUUCCCAAAACUACUAUGGAGAAGAUAAGCUGCCAGACCAAGAAAGACUGCAACCAGACAAGGAGAAGAAGAUAAUUUUAUUAUACUUCGCACAAUCCAGCAAAUCAUAAUUGAGGAAGUUAUCACUAAUAACUGCAUUCUCUGAAGAUAAUUCCUUUUGUCCAAAAAUAAUUGAUUAAAGUCUUAAUGAUCCUCAUUAUUUUAUCCACGAAAACAAUUACUGUUUAAAAUAAUCGAGCUCAAAUUUAGUACCUGAGAUAAUAUGGGAAUGGCAGGUCCAGGAAGCAUAGCUGUAAGCACAAACACGAGGAAACACUUAAGAGCAAAACGAGCUUUAAUCUACUGGAGCAAUUGCAAUCUCAAGUUCUAGUGACCCUGUAAAAGCAAAUAUCUCAUAGACAAAAGGCAACAGGAAAAUUGCAUUAAAUUGUUUGAUAGUUUCAAUUGGGUCGCAAUUCUUGUAAAGUGGACAAGUGACAUCCUGAAGUUUCAUAAGUCCUCAAAGUAAGCCCUCUCUGUAUUCCUUUAACUUGAAUGGCUGCCAAUCUGGUGUGCUAUGUUAGCAUUGCAGCCACUCAACUAAAGCUCGGGUAGCUGCCAUGUUAGCUGAUGUCAUUCAAUUGAAGCUGAUGUGGCCUCCAUGUAAAGUUAACGUGGCUGCCACUUUAGCUUCACUAUUUCUUAAAAGGAGGCAAAGAAAUAACGUAUCAAAUUCUCAGGUGUUGCUUGUCAACUUUAAAAGAACAAGGACCAAGAGAAAACUAUCAAAAAAGUUCAGAGACCAUUAGUACAAUUUACCGAUAACAAGCAGCAAACAAACAAACAAUGCGUCAUUCAUACCUCAAAAAAUCAUGUUUGUGUUAUUUUCAGACACAGUGCAAAGAAUUAACCUUUUCCAAUGUUCUCAGAGAAAAUUCAGAGACAGGUACAGUUUAACCAUCCAUUGAUGGAAGCACUAUUGUUAUUGUAUAGCAUGGGUAUGUAUCCUGAGAAAUCCAACAUAAAAGGAAGCGUUAUGGGAUUACCUCCAGCAGACAUGCCUAAAGCAACACCAAGGGCUUCAAGAACACCAAUUGCCAUAAAACGAGUUUUUGGAAGUGCCAGCAUUUCCUUAGUUACAAUUCCAAGACGAUAUCUAACGUACAGAAUAGAAAAAUAUACUGCCACAUAUCUGCAAUGAAUUACGUCACAAUUGGCACACUUUAUAUUGAUAAAUGUAUUAGCAUGUCAAAAGAGCUCAAUGGUCUAUUCUAUAUAUCAUAGAGAAACACAUGAAGCACAACGUAUGUGCUGCAAUCAACUAUACUUCUAUAGUUGCAUCAAGCAAUGUAAAAAGAAACAUACACACGUGUACGCACACACAUGCAGAGAGAGAGAGAGAGAGAGAGAGAGAGAGAGAGAGCUUUCAAAAGUAUCUGAGUGGUGAUACUUUGCAAAACUGAUAGUAAAGCAUUUGAAUUGAUGAUUCAUCUAAAAAAUUUGAAUAUACGAUCAAUCCAAUUAGAUAUGAUCUAGUGUACUUAAAAAUUCCAGAAAUUUGAAAUUAUAGUUUUCCUAUCUCUUCUACUAAGUGGUCUUGAAAUUAAAUAGAAAAUUAAAAGUUCACGCAAGAAGAUUAUUCAAUUAGAAGCUAAGAAUAAAUCCUAUCUUGUAUUCUAAGGCACUUGUUCAAUACACAACCCUUUGCAUCCACUUGAUGAGCAAAAAUUACUUUAAAAGCCCUGAUUUAUGUUUUUAGAUUAUUCAAAUAGUCUAGCUGAUUUCGAAGCUUGGAAGUCAUGGAUCUUCAAUCCAAAUACUCUACAGAAAUUUUGAGAACUAAGAACAAGUAACAAUCAAAUACUCUUGAGAGAAGCCCAGCCUUAUAUAAGUAAACAUUUAUGUCCCAGAAAUUCGAAAUGAUAUUAGAAAUAGAAAUCAUGGGUUAAAAAUGAACUGAUUAUUACUAUUUUCAGACUUCAUGGAUUUCCCUACCUAUUCAUCUUAAGUUCUAUAAGAUACAUAAAUUAUGAUGCCAUGAUUCAUCAAUUGUUCCAAUAAGGGAAGGUUCAACUAGAAAAAGACCUAAGUAUACAAACAUAAAUUGCAUUCUCUAGGAUACAAACCCAGUAAAAACUACCUGAAUUUGUAAAAAGAGGGAUAUCCAGUUACCAAAUAAAAUUACAGCCAAUUUUUCACAUUUUAUCAGAAACACCAGGUGAAGCAGAUAGGAAACUAACAUCAUAUAUAUCACCGAUCAAUGUACAUCUCAAAUUCCACUCAUAAAUCCAUCAACCACCAAUACCAAAACAAGCACCUCAAUUUACUAGUGAAACUCACCCAAAUGUGGUGAUUUGCGCGAGAAAGAAGGGAAAAUGCUUCAUGGGAACGAGUGCAAGCUUGUAGAGAACGCGAUUCAUGACCGCUAGAAGAACCGUGACCGCGGAUCCCACCGCGAUUCCGCCAUGGAACCCCUCGGGGAGCCCCGUGCCGUCCCUCGAAGCCAUAAACGUCGCUAGAACUCGCGGCUUCGCCGAGGAUGCGCCGCCGACCCAGCUCCCUCCACCGGAGUGGCGGCGCCGACGCGGGUGCGAGGCGGAGAAGGCCAUGAGGGAGAUCCUAGGGUUUCGGACCGCGAUUCGAGCGAGGAUUUGGGGAGGAGGAGGGGAGGGGGAGGGGGAGAGGGGGAGGGAUGAGGAGAAGAGGAGAUCCAUGGGAGGGGAAACCCGUGGGACGACGAUCGAGCGGCGGGCAUAGACACGACCGCGCGCUCUCGGUCGCUUACGAACGACGCGCUCGAGGAUUCUGCAGCGUAGGUAGGAAUCUAGGAAGUGGGAAGUGAGAGAUCGUAGUUUUGUAGUCGACAGCGGGUACGACAUCGGUGCCGACUCCUGAUCGUAAGCUUGGAAUGAAAUCGUACUCUCGUAGUCGGCAACGGUGCGACAUCGGUGCCGACUCCUCGUUCAGUUUUCACCAUUUUAUUGUUAAGCUUUUUAAACUUUCUGGAAAUCAAAUUUUUAUAAUUUUUUAGCAUUAUUUGUCCAGAAUUUAAGUAGUUUCAAAAUAUUAACAAUUGCAGUGGCUAGUAUAUGGAAAAUUUGAGGCUGUUAUUGUAAAAUUGUAAAUUUUGAUUCCUACAAAAUUUAAGGGGCAAUUGCUUAUAUACUCUGGAUAAGUUUCUGAUUUUUUAAUUUACUCCUUUUAGAAGAUUAAUGUUGAAAAUACAUUUUUUACGUUUCAAUCUAUUUCCAACAUACUCCUAAAGUUAAAUUCUGUUAAUGAAUUUUUAAAAUAACUGUUAUCUCUAUGAAUUUACUAUUUUGCCCUUUCAAAUAUAUCAUUCUACUGUCACCAAUUUUUCUUAUUUGCUUUGAUACAAAAAAUAUUUUAGUUUUUGGUAUUUUCAAAAAUACCUUCUCACCAUCACCAACAUUUAUUUACCUUUAGGGUGCGUUUGGUUCGAGUUAUCCUGACAGAAUUACAGGCAAUCCUGGCAGGAUAACUGUGUUUGGUUAAUCCGCUAUAUAAUCUAGUCGUUAAUAUAGCAUUACAAAUCGAGCAGGAUUACAUCAAAAAUAUUAACGGGAGGGGGGUCGUGUAUCUUACAUUACUGAAAUCCGUUAAUACUACAUAUUAUGUAAAAUGACAAUUUUACUCUCCAACAACCCUAAAUCUAAUUAACAAUAUUAUUUUUAUCUCUCUCUUGCCUUCCCUCUCCUCUCUCUCGCACGCCGCUUUCUCUCGCUCUCUCUCUCUCACGUCUCUCUCUCUCUCUUGCGCGAGCGCACGAACACCUAUCAUCUUCUAUUGCGUCGUCCUCCCAGGUCUUCCCUCUAUUCGUCAUUUCUGCAAAAAAUAAUAUUCAAAUGACCACAACAAGAGCAAUUUUGGAAAAAACUAUACUUUUAUGUUAGGAUUACUAAAUUUUAUAAAUUGAACCAAACGUAUUAAUGCUAUAAACAUUGUAAUCUAGUAUUAUAUUACUGUAUUAAACCAAACGCGCUAAUGUAGCAUCAGUAGUAAUCUCACGUCGAAAUUCAAAAUACCUGGAUAUGUCGAGAUACUUUGUAAUAUUACAUAACUCGAACCAAACGGGCCCUUAUAGGGCAAAAGAGGCAUUUUGAUUUUUUUAACUCUAAUAGAUAUUUAACUCACGUUUAAUCCAAGUUAACUUAACAUAUGAUAACUGUAGGGGUAUUUUGAAAUAACGAAGGAACAUAUGAGUGUUAUAUUAGAAAGGAAAAAAAUAGAAGUAAAUGAGAUAUACAACUUUUAAAUUUAAAUUUAAAAAUUUAAAAAUUUAAAAGUUAUAUAUUUCAAUUUAAAAAUUUAAAUAUAAAAUUUAAAAAUUUAAAUUUAAAUAUAAUAUAAGGGAUAAUAUUAUUAUUUUCUAUUUAUAACUAUCCACUAUCCUUCUUAUUAUAUUUUAUCUAUUCAAACACUAUUUUUUUUAUUUUGAAAAAUAACUAAAUUUUCAUCUAAACGCAAAUUAAUCUAUCUCCAGAUUUAUAUCUGAACUUAUACAUAUCUCUGGAAUAAACAAUUAUUGCUUAUAUCGGAACUAAAGGAAGCCUACAGUUUAGGGGCGGCUCAUUACGAAACGUGUAACGUUUAGGGAUCUUUGUGCAUUUUUUCCAAAAAAAUUUAAACGUUAGGUCUUAGAAACUGUGACCUAACUCGAAACCCCACCGUUGCGCACUCCUCUUGCAACAGAGAAGAGGCAACAAUGGCGGCGGAGCUCUCCGAGGAGCUCAAAUCUUUCAUGGAGACGGGCAUCUACCGCUUGGAUGGAUCCAACGUCGUCUUCAUCGAUCCCGUCCGAGUCCUCAACGAGUCCUACUCCCGCUUCGCCCUCUCCCCCUCCGAUUACUACUCCCGCAGCUUCGCUCCUCCCAAAAGCGCUUUUCCAGCAGAAGCCGUUCCCAAGAAGCGGAAGCGGAAGCCGAAGCCGCACCACGAUCUCAAUGAGCGGGAACGCGUCGCGGAGAAGCGUCAUCAGGUUAUUGCUUCGUAGAUUUUUAUGUUUUCUGGUGCUCGUUGUCUCUUUUUCCUGUCUCUUAUUGAUCGAUGAUGACGAUAGGAAGCUAGGGCUUUGUUGCUGAGCGCGCACAAAGCGCUUCUUGCAGCAGCCGAUCUGUUGGGGCUUCUUCCCCAGGUAAUGGGAGGUGAGGGGUCCUCUCAUGGUGGAGAAAGAGCUGCUGAGAAGAAUUUUGUUGAGCUCGGAAACCACUGGAAAGCGCCUUUUUGUGAGAUCACCCUCGGUCUCCGAGCGUCGAACGAGGUUGAUCAAGGUAAAAAUUAAGGUAUUUGGCUGAUUUCUGGGUGGAUUUGAAGUUCUUGGGUGGAAGGGCAUGAAAUCAUUAGGUUUAAUUUUAGUUGGCACUGGUUGUGUUGUUCCUAACUGUCUAGUUAUGAAUUUGGUAGAAAUGUAUGGAGACCCCCUCAACUUUUUUUUCUUCUUUGAAAUAGAGUGCCUCUCAACUUUAACUUUUGGAUUGUCGAGCCCUGAAAUUUCGAUCUUUUUAAUGAAAUCGAGCAAUGGUUUUGUUCAAUUUGAUGGUUCUGAUCACUUUUUAGCUGUUGAAGUGUGUAAUUAAUGAUUAAUUUAACAAAAUCCUCGCCUCGAAUAAUGAGAAAAAUCCAAUUAAAGUGUAAUACAACUUGCCUAUGCAGAGAUAUGUUUGUAUUACAUGUGCUGAUCUUGGAUCCUUGAAUUUAUAUGAAUGGCAUUAUAUGGGGUUCUCUAUGCUUUACUUUAUUUCAGCAACAUUCUAAUCAUUAUUUAAUGCUAGGUUCUAGGCCUCGGCAUGAUGUUGGAAGGGCAGUUGUUUCAUUAUUUAAUAAUCUAAUCGGUAAUGAAACAAAUGAUGAUGUAGAAGCUGAAUUUCAAAAUUGCUGCUAUAUUUUACCUCGCAGAAGCUCCUUCCACAUGGUAUGAAGAUCUUGUUUUCUGUUUAAUUACUUGCAGUAAUCUACUCCUAAAUACUUUUCCUUUCUAACUUUUGGUAGAAUUUGCCCAAAACACUUUUAGGAUCCAACUUUUUGUAGCAUUCACAAAGAUUCUGUUAAAUUUACGAUUACUUUAUGAUUUCUUACUUGGUUUUUUUAUUUUUAAAUGUUGAACGUUAUGACAAAUGACAUGGAAGUCUGACUUGAGACAAAUUCGUGAUCUCGUUCCUGGUAAGUUUAAGCUCAUUUGGAAUUAUUCUGAGAUUUAGAUUUCUUGCUAAAAAGUACCAAAUAAGUUUUUCUUCUAUUUAUUUAUGGAUCUUGCCCCUUUCUUUCCCUUCAGCUCAGUCUAGUCAAGGGUUUAAUUUAAUAGUAAUUGAUCCCCCAUGGGAGAAUGGAAGUGUUCAUCAGAAAGCAGCGUGAGUUUUCUUAUGCAUCUCCUGGUAACUUGGCACAUGGAGUAAUGUUGUGCUGAUUUGUCCAAUGCAUUGAGUUAUUAGCCAACAGUAGUUCUAAUCUUCCAUUGCUGAUUUUUCAACAAGUUCAGGAAAUUAAAAGUUCUUACUGUUAAGUUGGCGAAGCCCAUAGAUUUUAAGAAGCAAUCUAUUGAAUGCCUACUUCAGUCGGUUCAAUUUGCAGAAUUUCACAGUUCUUUGAAUUCCACAGAGACCUUUUUGAACCUCCAAUAUAGAAUUCUCCUCCUCCUCCUCCUCUUCCUCCUAUGCCAGUAUAAAACUACUGUUAGCGACAGCCUUUUCUUUUAAGGUUGGUCAAUUAGCCUUUGAUUUGAUUCGUGCUCAAGUAUUUGGAUGAUCAUGGUACUGAUGAACAUCAAUAGCUGUUCCAAAAGGAUUCAGAUAUCCACGCUAAGCUUAAAAAAGGGCUUAAAUGAAAACAAAUGUAUUUUUUCCAUUCCAAACUACUAUGACAAUUUUUAGUUGAAAUGUCAAAACACUUUUAAGUCCACAAGUUACAAAAUAGUUACUGUUAUCUUGGAGCACUUAUGCUUGUCCAAUGCCAAAAAUGAGAACACAACUUUUGUGUGCUGUUUGGCUAUGGUUAUUGGCUAGCCACAUAAGUUUUCUCUAGCAGCUUCGAAGACUAUAUGUUACCUCUGACAUUCUAUUUUUCACAUUGCAUCAUUCCUUACUUUUGUUAUGCAAUAUUUAAAAGUGUGAGUGUUGUGAAAAAUCCUUGUUACAGGUACCCAACAUUACCUAACAGGUAUUUUUUUAAUCUGCCUGUUAAAGAACUUGCUCACGAGGAUGGUGCCCUUGUGGUGUUGUGGAUGACUAAUCGGGAGAAGUUGCGCAUGUUUGUUGAGAAAGAACUGCUUCCUGGUUGGGGGGUGACAGAUGUCACUCCCUUUUACUGGCUAAAGGUAAGAUGAUGCUGUGCUCUUAUUGGAUUCCACUGCUUUUUUUUCUUUCCCCUAGGCAGCAGAAAAUGUUAUUGAGCUACUUAUGAUUUUCCAAUAUGGUUGGUGAAAAUCUAAUGUUGAUAUCAAACAUGAUGUAGGUUAAACCAGAUGGUUCUUUGAUUUGUGAUUUGGACUUGUUUCAUCACAGACCAUAUGAAUGCUUCCUCAUAGGUUACAUUAAUGUGGUGAGUUUUAGUCGUUAUGAUCAAUUUAUGGCAUAUACAUUUGGCUUUCUACUUGGAUUUUCUUUACUCAGGCAGAGUUUUUUUCUUCUUUUUUUCUCCCCAGGAUGUUGAUUUCCAAUGCACAGAAAAAUUUAAGUACUUAAAAAGCAGCCAAGUCAUCAUAAGUGUUCCGGGUGCUCACUCAAGGAAGCCUCCAUUAGAAAGUAUCCUCCUAUAAUGGCUUUACUUGUUGUAAGAAAUAUAAUUGCAUAACCUCUCAGUAUCUCCCUAGAACAUUUGUGGCCAUGCAUCAACUAAGUGCACAAUGGCUGGAAAAGAUCCCUUGCUGUAUCAGCCCAACUGUGAUUUGGUCCACAUAGAACAUGAGGACCUUGAACUUUAGGUUCAUAUCAAUGGUCCUCAUAUUUGCACAAAAUUAUUUCUUAGAAACUUACACUUUUUGAUCAAGCAGUCUUUUGCAAAAAGCUAUUAAUCUAGAGUAAGAAUAUGCUAGUUCAGCAAUCCAAACAUAUUUGUAUUUUUCAUUAAAAUUAGCUUUGUUUUUAGAGGGGAAAAUUUCAUUUCUUUCUAUCUAGCGCAAACUUCUUUGUCUCUUUACCCUCCAGACCAGUUCACUCUCUCUUGUUUGAAGCAGCGUAUAUAUUCAAAAGUUUUUUAUAUAGUCUAGCUGUAGUAGUGUUCCUUGUUUCAGCCCUUAACCAUCUAAAGAAUUACUAUUGGAACAUAUACCAGGCCCCAAGCCUGCAAAAUGCAUUGAACUUUUUGCUAGAGAAUUGACGGCUGGAUGGAUCUCUUGGGGAAAUGAACCACUACGUUUUCAAGAUUCACUGUAUUUUCUGAAAAAGACAAAUAACUGGUGCUCCUAGGUACGGAAUUUUGCGCUCUGCAGAAAUUAAUUUGGCCGAGAUGCAGCUGAAAAUUAGGUCGACUCUUUUUCACUUUCUGGAGCCUACCCUGCUGUAUUUUUCUUUAUCUUGUCCUAGAUCAAUUAUUUGUUUUUGAAGAACUUCCAGAUGAACUUGUCCAUAUUUUGAGUGUAAUUUUUAGAUGUCAUACUUGAACUCCAUUAGGCUUAAGUGAGACCCUUUAAGAUGGCUUGGAUCCUAGGAUCCUGUGUCCAUUGAUGUCCAAUGUGGCUUAUUUGGUGUAAAAAGAAUCUUAUUAUGUUACUACAUUGGUCAGGAAAGGUUUUGAAUCAAAACUUGUAGGUCAAUUCAGUGCUUUUAUGUAUAGGGCAAUGUAGUGAUCCAUGAUUAGAGUUAUUCUGGAAAUUUGGUAAUGAAAAUCAUUACUCCUGUGGUUGUUUCUGUCUACUCUCUUUCCUCUGUGCUUGGAUUGGCGCCUUUUCUUCUCUCUUUAGUCACCGAAUUGGGCAUUUGCCCUUCUUUUUCCCGCUCCAUUAUGCCUUAUGUUCUCCGUCUUUGCCUCUAUUUGGUGGCUGUUGUUGCUAAAUUUUCCUGCUUUUUCUGAUCUGCUGCUGUGUUGUUAUUCAUCUUCUGUAUUGCUGCAGAAUUCAGAUCGAUCACUGAACUUUGUUAACUGUUGUCUCUUGAAAAUGAUUUCUUCUCUUAUUCAAAACAGUUUUGAAUCAUUCCUCUUUUGGGAGGUGAAAUAUUUAUAGCUCGGCAGAGUUUGACGAUGAAAUUUUUUAAUUUUGGGGGCUCUGAGCACACGCUAGGGACAUGUUUGUUUCACCGAAACUGAAUUUUGGGUUGAAGUGAACUUUGGGUUGAAGUGAAGUUCGGUAAAAAUUAUUUUUUCCCUGUUGUUUGUUUCGUAGUUGUGGAGGUGAAGUUUCAUUAGUUCUGCUGUUUGUUUGAUAGGAAGUGUAUGAUGUAAAAUUAUAAUUUAUAUAUAAAUAAUAAAUAAUUUAAUAAAUAAAAAUAAUAUAGGUAUUUUUUUUAUACAUAAAUUAUAGUAAUACAACAAUAAAAUUAUAAAGUAAAAAAUUAUUAAUACUUAAUUAAUCAAUUUCUAUCAUAUUUAAUUGUACAAACUAAAUAAAGAAAAUAUUAAAACUUAAUUAAUCAAAUUUUAUCAUAUUUUAAAUAUGCCAACUGAAUAAAAGAGUAAUUAGUACCAUAAUUAAAUAUAUUUAAAUGUAACUAUCUUUACCUAUUAUAUUAUUUUAUUAUUUUUUCUUCUCCUCCCCUCACCGUAAUUGAUUUCGGCCCACGAUGGGCGAAGUCAAGUACGCUGUUUUAGGUUAACUUGGGUUUUGACCGUAACUUUUUUACGGCGAACCAAACAACGGAAGUGAUCGUUUAUGGCGAAAACGACUUCCCCCCCUCUGCACUUCCACCCAACUUCCUCCCAAACAAACAUGCCCUAGGUUGUCUUUCAGUAAUUUUGUGAUUUCUUCUUCAAUUGAUGGCGGUUCGUGUAGGAACAAUUAAAUCCAGAUUAUUAUUGUUUUAUUUUAGUUAUAAUACUUUCUGUAAGGACUGAGAUUUUUUUUGACAGUGCAACUAAACUCUCUGUUGAUGAUGUUUAUGUGUGUAAUUUAAUUACAUAAGCACUCGUCAAGUUUCGGACGAAAAUGAGCUAAAAUGGAGAAGAUACGCGAUUUUUAGUUUUCACUUAAGUGAAUAGUAACUCCGGUUUUCCGGAGAAGCCACGGAGUAGAGUUGGCUUCUGGUGCGUAUCGGACUCCGUUCAUAUCAGUCCAAUAGCUCGUUUCUACCGGUUCAGCUGUUCUGGAACUAAUGACGCUGAUGGAUUUUGAGUUUGACGCACGGAUUUCGAUAAAAUCCAAAAAUACAUGUUUUAUAUGUAUUUGUGUGUAUGUUUCCUUCUAUUGGAAGAAGGUUGGAUUUUGUUGUGAAUCCGUGGUCGAUCGAGAUGAAUCGAAAGUGUAGCUUUGUUGUCUCCGAGGUGCUGAUCGCACUGGUGCAAUCCGUUCGCAAAUCUGACGGACGGAUCUGCGGAGAUCGCGCGUUGAUCGAGGGAGUUCGGUGGAUUGAAAACUGGUGAAUUUCGCAAAGAGUCAGCGAAUUUUAUAAUUUUAAUUACCGAAUCGCAGAGAUCAACUGGAGGUGCGCUACACGCAGAUUUACUCGCGAUGUGAAUGGAACUGGUUUAGGAAAUAACCAGUCGGCAGGACUUUGGUGCAAAGUGGCAUAUGGUGAUAUAAUAGGCUUAAGAAGGUUUCUAUGCACGAACCCUAGUUUCGGCCAACCUAUCUUCCAGCUAUGCCCAGGUAGCUUCAGCAGGCUCUUACUAGCCGUGCUCGCCGCUCCGGGCCGCUCCAGGCGUGCGAAUGCCGGCCGCCGCGUGCGACUGCUCGGCCGCGGAAAAGCCGCGUUUGCCUCUUCCUCCACCUCCCUCUCCAUCUUGCUGCCUCUUUCACUGGCAGUGACCACCUGGGGACAUCACUCGCGUCGGGCCUUCAUCUUAUUGGCUGCGGCCGACCCCGUUCAGCCUCCCCCACCAGUCGCCAAGCGGUGCUUGCUGGCUUUUAUGGCGAGCUGAGCCAUGAUCGGGCUGAGCCGUGCUGGCUUCCCUCUCUGUUGCGCUGCCGCUGCCUAGAUCGGCCGGGCCGCCCUCCCCCGAGCCCCGGGGACCUCCGCGCCGGCCCCACGGUCAGCGCACGCGCCGGAGCCGCCCAAGCUCCUGCGCGCACCUGCGAUCACCCAGGCGAGCCUGGUGCCGAUCUUGCAUGCGCGCGCCGCAUCCGCUCGCAGGCGCGGCUGCCCCGCCGUCCCUUUGCUGUCGGCGAGCUCGCGGCGUGGUUCCGGGUUACCCGAGCCACGCCUGGUCGCGCCUUGAAGCUCCUGAGCUGCCUCCUCAGACUUUGGUGCGGGCCGAGGCUGGGCUUCCCUCCAAUCCAGCUAUGUGGCACCGCCUGUGGUGGGAGCCACCACCUCCCCUCGGCUUCCUCCGCCGGUUCGUCGCCGCCCCGGACUCCUGCGGCCCGCCGCCGCGCUGCCGGGACGUCGAACCCGAGAAGAGUGGGGUGGAGGGUGCGGAUCUCCUCGGCCCUGCCACGGUUGCUCCCGCCGCCGGCGGGUACCUAGCACCUCCCGACCUCUCGACCGACUGCUUCCAUCUCGCGGCGGACCGCCCGUCUCGCCGCGGGCGGCAAACCUAGCUCCCCCCUCACUGUGAGUGUCAUUUAGCAUUCCAGCACUGCUAUAUUCCCACUUCCGGUAACUUUUCCGCUAUUCCGAAUGGUCUUGUUUGACUCGGGAAGUGAGCACAUGAUCCUUAGGUCGGUGCUGAACAUCCGUGCUCCACUUCCGCGAGCCGUCAUGAGAAGCCUUGGUUGCGCGGAGCCAACGCCGAUCUCACUCGAGUGGCGCGCUGCUCUCUCGCUUGACCUCUCGCGUCGCAUUGUGUGCCAGCACGCGGCACGUCGCCCGAUUGGCUCCGAAUGUGAGCAUGGUCUCCGUUCACCUGAAAAUCUAUUAGUCGGGUGGCGAACGUUGACCCAGCAACCUCUUAUUCCGCAAGGAUUCGUGGCCAUAAAAACUUGUCGAAAAUGCCACUAAAAGUGAUAGAUUUUAAGGUUCAUGUUGUGCUUUCUUGCUUAUAACUUCGACUCGGUCGCUGUGGACAGCGUGUUAACGCUGAGGGUAACCUCUGGACUAAUCGUCCAAGGCCCCAAGCCACUGCGGAGAUCGAAAAGCCUUGUUUGGGGCGUUUCACGGCGAAAUCCGUCGACGGAACGCGAUCUUAGUUCGGUUUUUUAUCCGACGGUGCCUCGGGAUCUGUUGUGAUGUCGCUAAGCCUUCUUGGCAGGUCACCCGUGUCGUUUCGGGUGUUCGGAAACGACGGGUGAGCGACUGGUGGGUCCCGGUGUCAAAAACGACACUUUCGGGAACCCGGUUCGAGACGUUUAGUCAACGAUGUUUGUUCCGAGGCGAAGUGUGGUGUUUGCUGCCAAUGUGGGUUAUUAUUGAGUAUUAGUGGCAGCGGUUGACUCCCAGUUGGAGUUGGGGAGUUCCGGGACGAUCAGUGGACCCCGGCGAAGCCCCGGUGCGAUAUUUGGGACAUCCGGUGUGAUUCGGCAAUCGGUCUUGGGAAACCGAUUUCCGUGGUUCCUUGUCUGGGGAUUUUAUUUUAGUUGCUGACAUUAGGGUUUCCUUCUGAUCGUGUGGACCCUUUGUAGGUCCGGUCGCUCUGUUCCCCGCCGUCGUGAGAUCUGAUCCAGACUUGUACAGGUGGGUACUUCGAUCCGACGUCGGUACAGUGGUGCACGCUCGGUGAUGGUUUCUUACCUCUGUUCUCUCGUUAUUAUCUGGCAUAUAUAUAUAUCUUGAUAUAUAGUAUUGAGCUUGCAUCCCCGUUGUUUUUAUUAUACUCUACUCAUAUGUUUCCUUGCUUAGUAUCAUGUGUAGGAGUAGAGUAGUUUAUCCAUACGUGAUCCCGGUGACCUGAUUGGUCGGUUCUCGUACUUCGUUUCGGUGACCUAGUUGAUCGGUGCUUUUAUCUUAUAUCUGUUGACCUGGUUGGUCGGUUGUUGCAUUAUGUAGUGAGUUGGUCUAUUUCUUGACUUCUGUCGUUCGAUGACCUUGAGGUCGGUGUACCCUGAGGGGUAGGAUUGUCAGCUGGUGCUGACGGUAGUUCUGGACUAUAUCGAAUACACUCCUGUGACCUAUCGGUCGGGUCUUGCGUUCGUACUUUUAGUUGACAUCGAGCAGUAUCUACAUACCAUCUUUAUUUACUCUGCCUAGUUGUUCUAUGUGUAGUAUCCUGUAUAGGGGUAGGGUAGACGACAUUCGUGUAUACUACACUUGUGACCUGGUUGGUCGGUUCUCCUAUUUGCAUCGGUGACCUGUUUGGUCGUUCGUUACUUUCCGUACAUUGACCUAUCUCGGUCGGUUCACGUUGUUACUUGAUGACCUACACGGUCGGUAUGCCCAGAGGGGCAGUGAUUGUCGGCUGAUUGCCGACGGUUGGCUAUUGAUCAUAUCCGCAUUGAUCGCCACAGCUCGAGUGCAUUUCACGUACACCAGCGGGUUGAUCCCCUGCAGGAGGGUGUUCUUUUCCGGAAAAGUGGUCGUACAUCCGACCCGUGAGCCCAGCGGUGUUCUCUUGUGCUAGGGUUACAUGCCAGGUGUGAGCAGAUAGUGGCUUUUGCCUGAGGUCCUUAGACCGACACGGCGGUUUAGAUUGGGUACGUUUGGACUUCUCGUCCGGUUGACGCAUAUAGCUAUAGUAGCGGUUGUUGCAUAUAUACUUCUAUUUCUUUCUUUACAGUUGUCUUGCUACUAUAGUUUUGAUAUCCUUGUAUGCUUGCAGUUGUACAUUACAGUAGCGGCAGUUGUGCUUUCAUAUAUAUAUCUCAUUCGUUCAUUAUCGUUGAUACUGUAUUUUACUUACCCAUACUGUUGUUUAUCUCUUCCUGAUCCGGUGAGUACUCCUCGCCUUCUUCGGCUUGCGGUACCCACUGGGAGGGGAGACAUGUUUACAUGUUCUCACCUCCCCCACUGUUUUUCAGGUAUUGCUGGCGUUGAGUUUUGGGACGAGACGUGAGGUACGUUCGUAGUGGUCGAUAGAGCUUCCGACCCAGGUUAUCGGUCUACUUUCUUACCCUUCUUAUUUUGGCUGCAUGAAUAGUUUAGUUGGUUUAUGUGGUUCAGUAUUUAUUUACAUUUGAAAAUGUGGAUUUCUGGAUUUUGUAAAAUAAAAGGUUUCUACCCCUCGUGGUAGUGUUUUUUUAAAAGAAUAAAGGUUUCUGUGUAAAAAACAGUUUUCAAAAGAUUUUUGUGGAUUUCUGUUUAAACCUUGAAUGUAAAACUGUGAUGUGAAUGGUGGAUGUAUGAAUGUAUAGUUAUUUUUAUAUUCAUCUGGUUGUGGUUGUAUCCUGGUUGUACUGUGUAUUGGAUCGACGCCGUGCAAAUACAGGGGAGACUCUGUCCGUGUGAACAGUGGAUUCCCUGUAUUUGUGGCGGAUCUGGCAUACUCUGGGGUCAGGUUUUCAAAAAAAAAUUCAGACGCUUUUCCGCUUUGUUUUAAACUGAAAAGGGACCCCGGGGCGUGACACUUUCGGGCUACAUCGCUUUGCCUUUUAGUUCUUCCUUUCCUAGUCGUCACCUCUAUGCGAUCAACUCGCCAACCCUUCAGUGACAAAGGGUUGGAACUUUCGAUUCUAAUAUGUAAAAAAUCUUUUUUAUCUGGUUUUGAUUGUGCCUUCAUAAUCCCAGGUGAGCUUGUUCUGGGUGUUCAUCUGAUUCAUAGGAGGCCGAAACUAAUGAUGGUAGUUUCGCUGGUAACACCCUCUUUUCCUAUAGGGGGCAUUCCAUUAGUAGCUUUCCAUACAUAACUUUCUUCAUUACCUCUCUUUUUGAAUGCGCAUUCUGUUCAAAUACUUCGAUAUUUUCGCGCUAUUUUCUUUUUGUAUUCUUAUUUCAAUUUUCCUGUCUCAUUCUGGUUAUUCCUUGUUUCCAAGUCGUAUUCUUCACAAAGCCCUUUAGUGGUUAUAGAUGGUCAUUUCCUAUUCUUGGUUUUGGAAAUCUUCAUUUACUUCUUGUCCAUGCCUUCAUAAUCCCAGGUGAAUGUGGUUGAAGUGUUUAUGUGAUUCGUGGGAGGCUGAAACCCAUGAUGGGAGCUUUGCUGGUAACGCCCCUGUUUCCCUGGAGGCGCUUCAUUAGUAGCUUGCCACACAUAACUCUUUCAAUCAAGACCACUGUUUUGAGUGUGCUUUCUGUCUGAAUGCUUUACUAAUUUUCUACAUUCUUCUGUUCGUGUACUUAUUUCUAAUUUCGAUUCACAUUUCACAUUAUUUCUUUUUAUUUAUAAUGGUGUGUAUUUUUGUAGCUUUGUGUUACUGUUUUAAGAGGUAUGCUAGCAAUGAGGGUGUUAAUUCCAUCUGAUUUUUGAAUUAUGAAUAGUCUACAAAGCUAUAUGGCCAUAUCGCCCGGACAAUGAGUGUCAGGAUUAGGGUUUGCCUUCUCAUUCUUCCUUUCAAGGUCAUUAUCUCCAUGCCGUCAACUGGUCAAAAGCCCUUUUGCAGCUAUAGAUGCUAGCUUCCAGUUAGGGAUGCAAACGGGGCGGAUCUGGGGGUGGGAGGGGUCUCCUACCACCCCUGCCGUUUUCUUGGCGGGUUGGGGCCGAUAUGGAGUUGGUUUUUUAUAUUUUUGCCCUCACGUAACGCUUCAUUCGGGGCGGGGCGGGGCGGGGCGGGGCGGGAGUGGAGCGGAUUUUUGGCGGAUUAAGAGGGUCUCCUGCCUCCCGCUCCAUUUUCUUAGCAGACGGUUGGAAAUGGGGCAGAUAAUUUUUUCUUUAUUUUUGGCCCUCACUUCCACAUUCUGGGCUGAUCGGGACAGGAGCUCCACGAACCCGCCACUUGCAUCCCUACUUCCGAUUGUAAUAUGCAAAACAUCUUUUUUACCAUAUUUUUUAUUGUGCUUUCAUAAUCCCAGGUGAGCUUGUUCUGGGUGUUCAUCUGAUUCAUAGGAGGCCGAAAAUAACGAUGGUAGUUUCGCUGGUAACACCCCCAUUUUCUAUGGAGGCGUUCCAUUAGUAUCUCUCCAUACAUGAGUCGCCUAAAUCAAUACGUGUCUUUUGAAUGUGCAUUUUGUUUACAUGUUUUGAUACUUUUCCUCAUUGUUCUUGUUCUUGUUUUUAUUUUCAUUUUAUACACUCAUUUUGCAAUAUUUUUCUUUCUUUAUUGUGGCAGAUAUAUUUUUGUAGCUUUAUUACUUGUAUAGGAAGCGGUCCAACUACAAAACUUCUUUUUGAUCAUAUUUUUGAUUGUGCCUUCAUAAUCCCAGGUGAGCUUGUUCUGGGUGUUCAUCUGAUUCAUAGGAGGCCAAAACUAACAAUGGUAGUUUCGCUGGUAACACCGCCAUUUUCUAUGGAGGCGUUCCAUUAGUAUCUCUCCAUACAUGAGUCUCUCAAAUCAAUACAUCUCUUUUGACUGUGCAUUUUGUUCACAUGUUUUGAUACUUUUCCUCAUUGUUCCUGUUCUGUUUUUAUUUUCAUUUUAUGCACUCAUUUUGCAGUAUUUCUCUUUCUUUAUUGUGGCGGUUAUAUUUUUGCAGCUUUAUUACUCAUAUAUGAAGCGGUCCAACUCUUGAAGCAGGGCAACUUCUUACUUCUUUCUAUGGUCGAACCUUAGCAGUGAAAUAUUUCAAAAUUUUGGUGUUGGCCAACUUCUUACUUCUUUCUAUGGUGGAACCUUAGCAGUGAAAUAUUUCAAAAUUUUGGUGUUCUUUCUAUCUGAUUUGAGGCUUAGGAAUGGCCUUGGAAGGGAAUUCUUGAACGCAUACAUUGAUGCUUGUCACAGUUUAAAUCCAAGCCGUACGAGGUUGUUGGGUAUGGGUAUCUUAGGACCCUAUAUACCCUUACACGGCAUUAUCCAAAUCUGAGUUUCGCUGUAAGGUCACCUUGUUCAGACAAUGAACAAAGUGACGUUGGUGGCUUUAGGGUUUGGGUUUGUUUGCUCAUUUUUUUUUUCCCCAAGUCAUCAUCUCGAUGUUUGAGUUGUCCUCAUAACUAAUUAAAAGCCCGACAGUAGCAAUUGAUAGUGCCUUCCGAUUAAAAUAUCUGGAAAUCUUUUUUUCUUGUUCUUGAUUGUUCUUCAUAAUGCCAGGUGAGCUUGUUUUUGAUGUACAUCUGAUUCGUAGGAGGCCGAAACGAAUGAUGGUAGAGCUUGUAAUGCCCCCUUACUGUGGAGGCAUUCCAUUAGUAGCUCGCUAUACAAAACUCUCUGCGAUGAAUACAUCUCUUUCGAAUGUGUAUUUUGUUCAAAUACUUUGAUCUUUUCGUGCAUUUGUUUUCGUAUUUCCAUUCUCCAUCCUCACUCCGCAUUAUUUAAUAUUCUUUAUUUUCAGCACAUUUUGUUUGCAGCUUUGUUACUAUUAUAGGAUUAUGAUAUAAAGCUUCCCAGUGUGGAUGCUCGGGGACUAAUUUUAGUAUCAAGAGACUGCUUUUUCUUAUAUACAGACUGCACUGUUGCAUAUUUUUGUUUACUUUGUUCCUAAUGUUAGAAAGAACUUUGUUUCUGCUUGCACUGAGAGCCUUGGCUUUGAUGUUCUCUGCAUGGAAGUUGCGGGUCUACUUCUGUUUCUUGCUUGAGUUGCUGUGUUCUAUUUAAGUUAUAUCAUCAUUGUUGUCUACUCGCUUGACUUAUGUUGAGUGAUAUGCACUGAUAAUGUAUUCUUAUGUAAUACUCCAUUUCCUGCAGGUCCUUUUAAUCCCCAACAAAGAGAUUCUGGAACAAGGACCACCACCCCCUGUACGGUGGUGGGUGUUCCCUUCCAUUGAGACCACGAAAUGACGAAUGAUUGGAAGCUCAUUCUUAGUUAUAUCUCGAGUCGUCUGCUCUGAGAGGACCAUCCACGGUCCGACAAAGAAACUAGAGAGCGUUUCUUAAUUCAUCCAUCUUUACAGCUCGCACGGUGAAAUCCUCUCUCUUACUCAUUCCAGUCAACUUUUGUAUAUUUGCUUAGAUUUGAUCGGUGCCAUUUUUUGGUAACAGCUUCUUCCUAUGCACAGGUGAUUUUUUUUUCCUGAGCAAAUAAGCGUGCAUGAAAGCAUACUGAAUAUGCUGUUGAUCUUGAGGUAAUAGUUAGUUUCUCGAGAUGAACAACUCAACGAAACUUCCCAGUUCUAUCCUUGAAAUCAAUACCUAAUAUUCUAUGGGCAAUUGGAGUUAGCAUGCACACCUGCAUAUAUAAAGCCCCACAAAUGUUAACUCUCUCUCUCUCUCUCUCUCUCUCUCUCUCUCUUUUCCAAGAACAUAGCAUAAUAUUCUGUUGGGAAAGAAAAUGUAAUUGUGUGGCGAAAAUGUACAUUGUGUAUGUAAUGAAGGGGAAGGGUUAUGUUGGAUCAGGGGUGAAUGUCGGGAGUCUCCAGGCCUUUGGAGCUCAUGGUAUUUUUCUUAGGGGUGUUUGGUCCUACGUAAAAUCAUAAAAUUUAGUUUUCUGUAAUUCGUGAAAUCAUAAAUUUUUUUUUUACAUUUUAUAGUUAUUGGUUUAUAGAAAAAAAAAAAAAAAAAAGUUUUCUAGCCGCAUUUGUUUGGUUGAAAAAAAAGAGUCUAAAUUUGUUUCGUUGGGUCAAAAAGUAAUGAAUGAAAAAUACCAUAUGUUUGAGUCUUCCUUUCUCUCUGAAAAAUAACAAAAAAUGACAACUUCAAUUUUUUAUUCCGGGAUAACUUUUGGGGGGUGGGGUUAAUGGAAUUGGGGUUGCAUUAAAGUAAUCUCACCCUAAUUCAAUUUUUUAAUAUAAAAUUUAAUUUUUAAAUUUAAAUUUAAUUUUUAAAUUUUUGUUUGUAAGCUUAAAAUUGAGACAUAUAAUUUUAAAUUAUUAAUUGAAAAUUUAAAAUUAUUAUUUUAAAAUUUUAAAUUUAAAACUUGAUUUUUGAUAUUUUUAAAAUUUAAAUUUAAUCUUAAAUUUAAAAUUUAGAAUUUUCAAUUUUAGAAUUUGAGAUUUAAAAAAUUAAUUUUUAUUUUAAUUUUUUAAUUUUUAAAGUUAUAUAUUUAAAUUUAAAAUUUUAAUUAUAAAAUUUAAAUAUUUAAAUUCAAAUAUAAAGUUGUUUUUUAUUUAUAGGUAUUUACUAUUCUUUUUAUUCUAUUUUAUUUAUCCAAAUGCUUAUCAUCCAAAUACAAAAUUGGUCUAUUUCAGGCUUAAUUCUAAACUUAAUUUAAUUUCUGAAAUAACAAGUUCUUACUUAACUCCGAAUCAAACGAAACCAGACGGCCAAAUUUUAAACAGAAUUAAUUAAUAAGAGUAAUUUAGAUAUUUUUAUGAAAUUAAAAAGAUAUUUUUGAUAUAGGGAUAUUUAUCUAAUUUAGGGUUAGCGAAGGGUGCUUAGAAAAUUAACACUAUUUUUAAAUGGUGCAUUAUAGUUUAUAAUUUAAAAUUUCAAUAUUGUGUAAUAUUGGAGUUUUUCGAUUUUUUGUAUUGACACUUUUUGGUUAUUCUCGUGUAAAAUAUUUUUUUUAGAAAAUAAAUUUAUGAAUAUUUAAAAACUAAACACAGUAAUAAAAAAUAGUCUACGCUAAGAUUUUAAAUGCCUGUCGGCACGGGCCGUAUUUACCGUGCCGUACUGUGCUAACAAGAUAUCGACACGAUAUAGACCCCGUACUGAUGGUACAGCUCAAAACUCUCUAUUCUUUAAAUUAGUAAGUAAUUUUCUCAAUAAAGUUCAAAGACGUUAUAAAAAGAUAUAAUAAAUGGUUAGAAUAUUUUGUUGUUAAAGAAAAUAAAUAUUUCAUGCUAUUAUGUGUCAGUACAUAAGAAUUUUUUUGACCGGCACGCAUCGGCACGGCUCGGCACGUACCGUGCCGAUAAGUUUCCGGCACGACCCCGUGCCACGACACUUAAAUCCUUGGUCUAUGCAAUACCUCUUUAAACAGAGUAAUGAAGAUAUAAAUAGUAUAACAAAAGUAUAAAUAGUAUAGUAGUUUAAUAAAAACAAUAUAAAAAAAUAAAAAAUUUUAAUGUAUAUUUUAUAUGUAUUUUGUAUAGGCGAUUUAUUUAGUAAGGUUCAUAAAAGAAAGGGAUCGAUUCUAUAAAAUUUCAAAGAAAUAAAUUAAUUUGUAAAAUUGUAAAAUUAAUUUAAUUUUUUAUGCAAAAGAGACCUAUAAUUUUUUUUUAAAAAAAGAGUCCAAAAGUACAAUGUUUUCUAGUGCUAUUGAGUCUUUACAAAUGCAACAAUGUCUCUUCUGGGAAAAAGUAGUUUAAAAUCUAGCCCCUCUUCUUCUUUUUUUUUUUUUGUUUGUUCUCCUGUUAAUAAUUUCAAUUUGAUAAAAUUAUACAGAAUUUAUUUAAAUUAUAGUUAAGUUAGUUAUUUAAUCUUUUAAAUUUGUGAUACUACUGUUUAAUUUUUUAAUUUAUUUGAUUUGCGUCACUCAACAGUAGUUUAAUUUUAAAAUUUAAAUUUAUUAUUUAUUUUUAUAAAUUUAAUUAAUAUAUUUCAUACAAUCGGUGCAAUGAUAAAUUUAUUAUAAUAAGCAAGUAGUUUAAAUUUUAAAGUUAAAAUAUUAUUGACUGAUUCAAAUUAAGUAAUUAAAUACUCGGAUAGUAAAUUAAAGUUUUAAAAAUUGAAUCAAAAAAAUUUACAGUUUACAUAAGUUUUGUAUAUUUUUAUUUUUAAAUUUUAUGUUUUUUUUUUUAACUCCCCCAUUAUAUCUUUUGCGCAAUGCUCACGGUCAAACCAAGGACGAGGGCCCACCACCACCACCGCACCUGUCACGCUGCAAAAAAUAAUUUUUUUUUUUUUAAAAAGCAUAAUUAAAGAGGAGGGGAUUUUAGACUGCCUCAAAAUUCGUGAACUGGAUCUGAGAAUAAGACGACAAAUGGCGCCACUGUUCCGAGGACUAGAAACAGAAGGGCAUUUCCGUCAUUCUCUCGCAUGUUGCUACUCCGCUGUUGCACAUUGCGUCAUCUCCUCAAAACGACGAGCACGGAGUCCGAGGAGGGAGAAAUGUGUAAAGUUGCAUUACUUGUCCUGAAACUUUACAUUUUGAUCCUCACACUUUUCACUUCGCGACAUUAGUAGUUUGUAAAUUCUUAAAAUUAUUUUAUUUCAGUCCUUAUAUAUAUAUAUAUAUAUAUAUAUAGAGAGAGAGAGAGAGAGAGAGAGAGAGUAGAACUAGAAUACUUCGAAAAACACCGAGUGGGUGGUGCUUUAGAGUUUUUAGCUCUUGGAUGGAGAAAUGUGAGGUUGAGAUGAUGGUAAUAGGUGAUGGUAGGUGGAAUAAUAUUUGAUCCAAGAAAUAUUAGUAAUUAUGGAGUGGAUCCAAGGGUUAGAAACUUAAAAGCACCAACUGGAUGGUGCUUCUAAAAAUAUCCUAGCUCAACUCAUAUAUAUAUAUAUAUAUAUAGAGUGAGCUGGUAUGCUUCUGGAAGCAUGGAGCCUUCCGUGCUUCCAAAUCGUUUUUGAUGUUGGGACUUUCGAAUCAACGAUCGGCUCCGUUAAACUUGAUCUAAAAUAUUUGAAGUACUUAAAAAAUAAAUUUUGUAAAUUUUCGAUAUCAUUUGCCAAGUGAUCGAAGGGGCUCAAAAUCAAUAAUUUUAAUAGCCGUGGUGAGCCGUUUGCAAAUUUAACGGUGUAGAAAUAUUCAAAUCACGUGAAAUUUUGAUAGAAAAUUCUUUAUACUAUAUAAAACAAGAUUAAUAUUUUUUAUCUAAAAUUUUAAUGUCAUAUCAUUAUAUUUUGUAAGAUUUUUAUUUUCAGCCGCUGAUUUUGAGUCAUUUCGAUCAUUAGGCAAUUGAUAUAAAAAAAUCACAAAAUUUAUUUAUAUAGAAGAUACAUUAUUUGCUACACCCAGUGUAUCUGCAUAUUUAUUUACCAUAAAUUUAUUAGCUCUUUUGCAACUUAUAUUUCGAAAAUUUCGCUCAUUAAGUUAAUUUUUAUUUUCUAUAUAAAAAAACUAGAUUGUUGGAUUAAAAUAAGAGUUGAGUGAAAACUGAUGUAUAUUUAUUAGUACACAGAUAUAUAGAUGAAAUUAAGGCAAGCAAUAAUUUUAACUCUAAAAUAAAAAUUAAGAUAUAAUAUAAUUAAAAUUUUAGGAGCUAAGAUGAUGUCUUAUUGAAAGUUUAGCAUAUACGAUUGUCGAAAUCAAAAUAAAAAUUUAAUGUUAAUUUAGGAAUUCAAGAAGAUAAAUAAGAGAAAUAUACUAUUCUACCCAAUUAUAAAUAUCAAAAUUUUUUAAAAAUUAAAAAAUAACUUUUAAAUUUUACGUAUCAAAAGAAUAUUUAUAUAUUUUUUGAGAGAAAGAUAAUAUGCUAUCCAUAUAAUUUAAUAACUUACUUAAUAUAAAUAUUACUGACCGUCCCUAAUACAAGUGAUAAAGAAUUUGAUGAUUGGUAUCCGAAAUUUCAAGUUCGAAUUCUAAUUAAUUCACAUUUCUAGCUAAGUUUUAUAUUAAAUAAUUUAUUUGGAUAUCUAAGCAGUCUCUAACAAUGAGGCAUGAGUUGUCGGAGCAGUGGAUGAAACUUUCGCCGGACUGACUCAACUGUAGUGUAGUAGUUUUUUUUUUUUUUUUUUUUUUUUUUUUUUUUUUUCUGGUGCCUUCUCGCCCCUUCCGAGGCCUUGUUGCCUCACCCAUAUAGCUUAAUUCAUAUUUUUACUGAAUGAAGAGGGUAGCGUGCUACCCUUCUCUCAAAAAAACAAUGAGGCAUGUAUAUAAUGCGGACGUGUACACCGGGUGUAUGCAAGAUUUUCUCGUCCCAAAGAAAGAGGAGAGAUAAGGAAAGGGCCCUCUCCCUUCGGGUCAGAGAAUAGGGAAUCGAUUCCAUCAAGUUGUAGUUACAACAACAAAAAAAAAUUUAAAAAUAAAUUACACAUGUGGUCCUCAAUCUAUGAAAGGCAUAAUAUUUUGAUACUGAAAUUUUAAUUUAUUAUUAUUUUUAUUUAAAAUUUUGAAAUUGUUAUAAUUAAUUUUUAUAGUUUAAUUUAAUUGAUUAAAUUUUGAUAAAUUAUUGAUAUAGAAAUAAUAUGAAAGUUGAUUGUCAAUAUUUCACCGACUAAUUAGGUUAUUAAAUUUUAUUAUAAUAAUUCAGAAAGUUCUAGGUAAAAAAUUAUAAUAAAUUAAAAUUUAAGGUCCAGGACACCCCUGUAAUUUAAGAAUCAAAAGCUUAGCUACGAUUUGGUUCGGGGUUAAGAAAAAACUAGUUAUUCCAGGAAUUGGGUUAAGUUCAGGGUUAAGGUGAGGUUAGAGUAUUUUUGUGUUUGGUUGAGAAUUGGAGUUAGUUCAGGAUUAACGAAAAUAAUGUUUGGUUGGAGUAGGUGGAAUAAGAAGGAUAGUGAGUAAAAUAGUGUUUUCUUUAGUUGGAGUAGUGGAGUGGGGUGGGAUUAACUGGGGUUAGCUAACCCCACUUCAAAUGGGCUACCCCGGAUUAACCUAUUUGGGGUGGGGUUAGCUAACCCCAGCUAACCCAAUCCCCUAAAAUCAUGUUUGGAAAUAAAACCGGGGUUAAGGGGUUAUCCCACCCCUUAACCCCGAACCAAACAUAAGCUGGCAUCGUUUGGUUCGGGGAUAAGAAAAAAGUGGCUAUUCCAGAAAUAGGUAUAAAUUGAGAUAUAAGCGGGAAUAGCAUCAAUUUUGCGUUUGGAUGAAAAUUAGGUUAUUCCUAGAAUAAAAAAAAUAGCGUUUGGUUAGAUAAGAUGGAAUAAAAAAGAUAAUGGGUUUUGUAAAUAAAAAAUAAUGAUAUUAUCCACUUAUUAUAUUUGAAUUUGAAUUUUUAAAUUUUUAAAUUUAUAUUUCUAAAUUUAAAAUUUUAACUUUGAAAUUUAAAAUCUCAAAUUUUAAAUUCAAAAUUUUAAAUUUUAAAUUUCAAACUUUAAAUUUAAGAUCAUAUUUAAAUUUAAAAAAUAUAAAAUAUCAAAUUUUAAAUUUCAAAAAUUUAAAAUAUCAAAAUUUAAAUUUAAAAUUUAAAAUUUAUAAUUUAAAUUUUAAACUUUAAUUUUGAGAUUAUAAAUUAUAAAUUUUAAAAAUUUAAAUUUUUAAUUUUUAAAAUUUUAAAAUAAGAAUAGGGGUGGGAACAAUUAAUAAAAAUAAUUUAUUAUAAUAAAUUUAUAAAUUUUUUUAAAAUUCUACUUAAACUUAAAUUUAAUAAAAAUAAUUUAUUAUAAUAUUUAAAUAUAAUUUAUUAUAAAUUUUAUUAUAAUAUUUAAAUAUAAAUAAUAUGUAUUAAUAUAGUAUAAUUAAUAAUUUUGUAAUAAAAAUAAUAUAUUAUAAUAUAUAACAUAUUAUAUUUAUAUAAUUUAGUUUAAUUCAAUUUAUAAUUUUAAUUAAGUUUGAAAUUAAGCAUUGGAAUAGCACUAUUCCACCAAAAUGGUGGAAUAGCAAAUCUCUUGCUAUUCCUGGAUAACCGGGAAUAGCAAGGUUUGACCGGGAUAAAAUAUCCCGGCCAAAUUUCACCCCGUUUGGCGGAAUAGCCGGGAUAACUUUCGUUAUCCCCGCUUAUCCCGCGAUCCAAACGGGGCCUAUUAAUAAGGAUUAAUUGCACAUUUGGUCCCGAUACUAUGGGCCUAGUGAUAUUUUGGUUCUUAAAUUUUAGUUUGUUAUAAUUUCUGUUUUGAACAUUCAGAAUUACUAUAAGCAAGUCCUAUAAUAUAAUUUAGUUGGUUAAAUAUUAAUAUUAACCACAAUAUAAAAAUAACGUAAUAGUGUUAUAAUUGAUGAUGGGCCAAUAUUAAAAUGCCGCAUCAUUUUUACACCCGCAAUGUGUUUAUAUUUAAUCAACAACUAAAUUGGAAGGUGAGAUUUGAUUGCAAUAAUUCUGAAAAUAGUUGGAGCCAGAAAUGAUAAUAAAUUAGAGUUUAAAGACCAAAGCGCCACCAACUCAUAGUUUGAGGCCUAAAGAUGCAAAAUUACCCAAAGAGCUUAAUUUAUCCCAGAACUAACUAAAGAAAACGCACCCGUGUUCGCUUCGCACUUUUUUUCUGUGGGUAGAUGAGGUAGAGAGAGAAUAGAGAGGGGAGAGAGUAGAGAAUAAUAGAGAGGGGGAUGAGAGGGGGAGGGGGUCGGGUGGCGACGUGGAGGGAGAGGGAGAACAACAAGCGGCGGGAGCGGCGGCGGCGGGCGAUCGCGGCGAAGAUAUUCGCGGGGCUGCGGGCGCACGGAAGCUACGCGCUGCCUGCCAACCACUCCGACAACAACGAACUCCUCAAGGCCCUCUGCCGCCAGGCCGGAUGGACCGUCCUCGACGACGGCACCACCUUCCGCACCACCAACGUUGCUUUUCAUUCCCUCCCAUUUUAAAUUAUGUAUAGUUUGAUUAAUUAAAAUAACAAAUUUAUACCCAUCCAUCCCUUGAAAUUACCUCACCCUUUUCUUCGUCUUCUGCUUCUUCUUCUUCGACCUUUGCCGACAGGGAUGCGAACCACCACCGCCUCCGGAGCAAAUCGCCGCCACCGCCCCCCCGUCGACGACGAUGAGCCCCUGCUGCUCUCUACCACGCCACCCCCUCCUCCUCCUCCUCCUUCCCCAGCCCUACCCGCCCCGAGAACCCUAACCCUAGCUCGGUCGUGAACCCCGCCUUCCUCCUCCCCUUCCUCCGCAACCUCUCCUCCCUCCCCCCGCUCCGCAUCUCCAGCAGCGCCCCCGCCACCCCCCCGCUCUCCUCCCCCACCGCCGCCGCCGCCGCGAGAGCCCCACCCGCCGCCGCCGCCCCCGGCGCGACGAGCCCGACGCCUCCGCCGUCGACUUCAGGCUCUGGGGCGGCGCCCUCUCCACCGCCCCCGCGUCCCCCACCUUCAACCUCGUCCACACCGCUCCGGCGGUGGGGGUCGGGGAGUUGGAGCGCGGGGAAGGGAGGGUGGUGAAGCCGUGGGAGGGGGAGAAGAUCCACGAGGUCGGAGUCGACGAGCUCGAGCUCACUUUGGGAGUGGGUCGAAAUGGUGGUGGUGGUGGUGAUUGUGCCUCAAAUUUUGAGGGAUUUUUCGUAUUAUGAUUUACUUCUCUCGUUUUGAUCAGAAAAUUUUUGGUUCUACUGCUUGUGUUGUGUUUCUUCUAACUUUCGUGGGGGAUUGAAGGGGGAAAUUCUUUCAUUGGAUUGGGCACAUUGAUGAGGGGAGAGAGAGUUGUCACGUUUGCCAGGUCGGAAGAGGUUGCAGCUUGCAAGAUUCCAAUUGUACGCCCGAUCUCUACUCCACUGCAGUAGGAGAUGAAGGCGCGCUCUCAUAUUAUACACGAAGUAGGCACUGAUGUUUAUAGAUUGUACGCUUUCAAACCGCUCGAUGUUUACUGAUUGUACGCUUUCAAACUGCUUGGAUGUUUACGAACUGCUCGAUGUUUACAGAUUGUACGCUUUCAAACUGCUCGAUGUUUACAGAUUGUACGCUUUCAAGCUGCUCGAUGCUUACAGAUUGUACGCUUUCAAACUGCUCGAUGUUUACAAACUGCUCGCUGUUUACAGAUUGUAAGCUUUCAAACUGCUCUAUGUUUACAGAUUGUACGCUUUUGAUCUUCAAAUUUUGCCCCCUCAAUUCGACAGAGAUGAGGGACUUUGUUGUCGGAGAUCUGGCGAAAUGAACACGGCUUUAAGAUUACAUCUUACCUUAUUAUGUAGUUAGCAAUUUUUAUUGGUUGCUUCUAAAUUAUGAGAAAGCAUGAGGUGGAGGUAAUUAAGCUUUCAAAGUUCUCGUUUCUCCUUGCAUUGCAUUCUAUAGAAGAUUUUAGUAAACUUGAUCCGGUUUCCAUAAUUAUUGGAUGUACUUCAUUUAUGAUUGCAUUGAUAUGAAGCUGUUAUUAUGGCAUUGAUUUAUCACUUCAUCAAUGGCUGGGGCAAAUUAUGAAUUUAUGAUGGAAUUUUAAUUGAACUGUUCCUUCAAAAUCAAUAUUUAAGUUUUUCGCCAAUUUUUUCUUAAUGAAAUUACGAGUGUUGAUUUAGCCGCCAAGCCCUAUCUUAAUACUGCUAAUACUUGAUUAUAAGAUCAUUACAUCAUUUCUAAAUAGCAAUGGAUCAAUUAUAAAUGUCCCCUAAAAACAGUGUUAAAUACAACACCAAAUGGGGAAAAAAAAUCUGUACUUUUAUAUAUUUUUUUUUUUCCUUUUUUGAGAGAUAGGUAGCACGUUAUCCGCUUCGUUUAUUUUAUUUAGAAAUAAACUUAGCUAGAAAUGUGAAUCAACUAGGAUUCGAACUUGGGUCUCAGGUUUCAAUCAUUUGCCACUUGUUCUAGGGACGGUCGGUAAAUCUGUACUUUUAUAUCAAUUAAGGAUUUUGUUGUAAUUAAAUAGGAUCCUUGUGUGGAUGCGUGAAUAUCUUACAAAUAAAUUUAGGGCCUGAUAAAGGGGCAUAUGAUCAUUUCCUUAGGCAUGUUUGGUUUGAAUUAUUCUGUCAGAAUUACAGGUAAUGUUAGGAUUAUUAUGUUUGGUUCCUCCAAUCUGCAAUUUAGUCGGUAAUAUAACAUUACAAUGAUGCAAGAUUAUUUCAAAGAGUUGGUAUUUCGUAUUACUGAUGGCAGGUUAUCUUACAUGCUAUAUAAAGUUGUAAGUUUACUCUUCCAAACCUCUCUCCUUCCAAAAAAGAAAAAAAAAUUUCUUUCAACAUGUCAUUUUUAUCUCUCUUUUCUCUUUCUCUUUCUAUCUUCGCACGAACCCUUCUCUCCUACCAAUCUUAUCUUAGCCAAGCGCUGAUCGCCGCCACCUCAACACCCUCUUAGUCAGAAAUCUCAGUUGUAUAAUUAUGUCGUAAUAACGUGUAAUGCUACAUAAUCCGAACUAAACUCGCCCUUAGAGGCAUAUCAAAUCCUGAGCAUAAUAAAUGUUGUUAGUUGAUGGGUUCCCAACCUCCCCUCCAGAUCUCCAUUGGAGAGGGAGUUGCCUUGGUGUGGGUCAUGGACACAUUAGGGGUUUGAGGGGCCACAUUCCAUGUGAGGGUUCUCUGCGUUAGGUGUUUGUACAACAGGCAAUGUCCAAUCCUUACAAUUAUAUAAGGUCCAGGGCACAUCCAUUCAAAUGCUGCAGCACAAAUGCACUCCCAUACAAUUAUAUUUGGGCCCAUCGAGAGUAACACAUCAGCUAAAUAGGCUCUGCUCUGUGUGAUGCGCACAGUGUCUAGCAGAAACCUGCAAGUGGUUUGCAGAGUUUGACAGUGGACUCUGCUUUAUUUGAAAUCCUGCCAUUGUGAGAUCAUUAAAACUUAACAUGAAGUGCUCUCUUCGACGUUAAAAGCUGCCAUGUAGGGCUGCACGUAUCUCAAACUGUGCACGUCAUUAAAGACCGUCAGAUCAGCCACGUGAUGUUGUGCGAGAAAUUAUUUUAAACCUAUAAAAUCUAUUGAUUUGAUGCAAAAAAAAAAAAAAAAAAAAAAAAAAAACUAUUGCUGCAAAUUGGGCAUUAAAAGUUUGAUUUCAAGUAAAAAUCACUUUACUAGGUUUAAUUUGAUCCAAGACCAAGAACCUAAUUUUGGCCCAUGAAGUUUAAUUGGUGCAAGGCCUACUAUUAAUGUUAGAUAAUUACUCAGUUUGGACAAAAUUAAGCUUACACUGGUGAUAGGAUCGCACAUUUUGCAGAGGGACAUUUCCAAUCAAAUGCACAAAAUAAGAAGGUGAUUUUUUUAGGAUCCAUUUGGUUGGAUUUAAUUAGAAAGGAUAAUUGCUUGUAUACCUGUCAAAACUUCAAAAGUAUUUUAUUUACCCGUACUUUUUUUUUUCUUUUUAAUAUACCCCUCAUAUGUUCCUCCAUUAUUUCAAAAUAUCCGUACAGUUAUCACCCGUUAAGUUAAUUUGGGUUAAACGUAAGUUAAAUAUCUACUAUAAUUAAAAAAAUCAAAAUGCCUAUAUUGCCCUUAACUGAAGGGUAAAUAAAAAAUAUUAAUGAUGGUAGAAGGAUAUAUUUAAAAAAAUAAAAAAUCAAAAUACUUUUUGCACCCCUAACUUACGGGCAAAUAAGAAAAGUCGGUGAUGGUGGAAGGGCAUAUUUGAAUGGACAAAAUAGUUUUUUCAUACAGAUAAUAACUAUUGCUAUCAGUUCAUUAACGGAAUUUAACUCUAGGAGUAUAUUUGAAAUAGUUGGAACGUAAAAAUAGUAUUUUCAAUAUUAGCUUUCUAAGAGGAGUAAAUCAAAAAGUCAAAAUUUUUUCAGGAGUAUAUAAGCAAUUACCCUUAAUUAGAAAUAUGGUAUAGUAGAAAUAAUAUGCAAUUGAAAAUACAACAGUUAUAACUACAUGCAUUUUGUUUGGUUUGAUGAUACAGUCACACAUUUCGCAAAGAGACAUUUCCAAGCAAAUGCCCAAAAUAAAAAGUCGAUAUAUUUAGGGGCCGUUGGUUGGAUGUAAUUAAAAAUACAAUGUAGUUUAAAAUAUAUGCAGUUGGAAAUGCAACAGUAACAACUACAUGCAUUUUGUUUGGUUUGUGCAAUAGAAAAUAUUAUAACGGUAAAUAAUUUGUUUAGUUUCAUACUGUUGAGAAGUACAUUUUUAAAAUUUUAUUAUUUUAUAUAUAUAUUAAGUGGUGAGAUUAUCUUUAAUAUAGAGAAAAAAUUACUUUUUGCUUAAAAAGUAAUUAGAAAGGUAAACUUAUCUUUGUUUAAAUUUACUUUCUUCUGUUGCUGCAAUUGGAACUACUAUCAAUUCGGACAUAAUUCCAAUUGUUGUAAUUGGGCCUUUUAUACAGUCCCAAUUACAGUAGUAGAGUUCAAAUAUAUCAAACCAAACACUAAAUUUUACUAUGCAUGUAAUUACAACUGUAAUACAGCUGUAACUAUAUGCAAUCAAACAGCUCCUUAGGCUUAGUUUGGUAUUGAGGCCUAUCUCUAAUGUUAUUAGAUAGAAUGGAGUUGAGGAAAAGCAUAUAGGAAUAUGCUUCUGUGUUCUCCGAUGGAACCGCAAAAAAUAUAUCGUAACCGACUCAUCGUGAUAUGCGGAACGCAAUAUUACGUACGGAAAUAAACAUGAUAUUUUUUCAACAUACUUUUUCACCGCACGUAACGCAAUCUCCCCGCAAUCCCAAACGAAGCCUUAGUACAGAAACUACAUUUGCAAAUUAA
rnacentral:lncRNA from 1 species